rnacentral:lncRNA from 1 species
UUUUUUUUUCCUCUAACUAAUUUGUCUUCUGCUUAACGUGCAGACAGAUUUCCCCUUAGACUUUUUCCGUUCAGUACACAUUGAUAAAAAAGGGGGCGUGUUGGGUUUGGAGUUGCGUGCGCGAUUCACUAAUAGAUGUUACUCCUAAAAGGCAUAGGUAAAAUUGGCAAGAACCAUGUGAAAAUCUGGACACACAUAAUCAGUGGCGGAUUUAGGAAUUUAAGUUUGUGGAUGCUAAAUUUUUUUUUACAUAAAAUUAAUGGGUGCUUUUGUAAAUUUUAUACGUUUUCUCAAAUUUUCUAUAUAACUAUACAUACUCUGCGUCGAGAUUAAUGGGUGNNNNNNNNNNNNNNNNNNNNNNNNNNNNNNNNNNNNNNNNNNNNNNNNNNNNNNNNNNNNNNNNNNNNNNNNNNNNNNNNNNNNNNNNNNNNNNNNNNNNNNNNNNNNNNNNNNNNNNNNNNNNNNNNNNNNNNNNNNNNNNNNNNNNNNNNNNNNNNNNNNNNNNNNNNNNNNNNNNNNNNNNNNNNNNNNNNNNNNNNNNNNNNNNNNNNNNNNNNNNNNNNNNNNNNNNNNNNNNNNNNNNNNNNNNNNNNNNNNNNNNNNNNNNNNNAUCCUCUGCGUCGAGAUUAAUGGGUGCUCGAGCACCCAUUUUUAAUGAGUACAUCCGCCACUGCACAUGACCAUAUUUUUAUCUAGGCUUAUGUGUGCUUUAGAUAAUUUUAAGAAUGUCAAUAUAUUGUUGAGGCAUUUUCAAUCUUGACCGAAUGUUUUCUAUAUAAUUUUAUCCAGUUAGACAGGACAAGAUGCCAAACUUUUCCGUUUUAGAAGCACUUUUUUUUUUCUUCAAAAAAGUAACUAUUUUCUCUUUUCUAAUUUGAAGUGUUUAAUCAAGUUUUCUCGGAAAAAAAAAAGUGCUUUUGAGGAGAAACAAAAAUAGUUUUGAAGAAUUAGAAAAAAUAACUUCUCUCCAAAAUAAGUUUUUAAAUAAAUAUGUUUAAAAAAAAUACUUAGAAACAGUUUUUAAAAACUUGACCAAAUACUAAUUAUUUGCUCAAUAAUUUUUAAAUUAAUUAGCCAAACACAAACUACUUCUCAUCAAAAUAUCUAAAAAAAUUACUUUUCAAAAUAAAUUAAUUUUGACAAUUUGACCAAACAAGCUAUAAGUCAAGUAAAAACAAAAGGUAGUAAGAUCACAUGGUGAUGAGUAAUGACUAAAAGAGAGGGGGGCAGAGAGAUCAAAAUCGUACCAAAUUAGAGUAGACAACUAAAUUAAAGUUAAUACAUUGAUUAUAUAAUGACGUAUUAUGAUCUACUCAGUCAUAUAUGGCUUUUUUAACUGCUUAGGAGAUAUCUUACGGUGGAUUCCAAAAAUAAGGGCGUAAUUUCUUAGAGUUUAAUUUCUACUCAGGACUGUAAAAUAUAUUUACGCAAACAAAUUAUAUACAGUAUAAGAUAAAUGUUUAAGUUAUAUAUACAUAAAUAGUGUAAAUAAUGUUUAUUCUAUCAAGUCAUCCAUAACUACAGUUAAAUAUAUAUGAUAAACAUUAACUACAGUCAGUACACUUAUUUAAAAAAUUAUUUAACAGACUUAAUCACAACGGGCAUUUAAACUAAAUUACUCCCAUUUUCCUCAAUGAAUAAUAAUAAUUAUAUUUGUUGUUUGGAGUAGUAAAAAUGGAAAUGUAGUUAAUGGGUUUUAAUUUUUUUAAAGUGACAAUUAUUUUGGUAAAGAUUUCACAUGACACUCUAUUUGAUCGCACAUAUUAAAUUUGUACUCAUUUUUUUAAAAAAGAUUUAAUUAGUACCCAAAAUAUAAAUAGCUUCAGGCUUUUUCCUUCCCCUUCUUCUCCUCUUCCUUGUCCUCCUCCUUAGUCAUUGUAAAAACAAAAGGUGAACUUAUACAGUGUUUGUGAGCACGUUUUAAGGUGGUUUUGUUGUUUUAACAUAGCUAGUGAGCUGAUGUGGUGUUCUUUUAUUUGCUACUCCUUAGGAUUUCUUCUUCUUCUUAAUUACAAAAUAGGUUUGGUAGAUUUGUUGUUGUUUUGAGGAAUUGAUGAUUAUGAUUUGUACUUUAUGAUAUUUGGGGGUUAUAUUUCAAAUUUGAAUUUUUGUAGUAGUUUUAGAUGUUAAUCGUGUGUUAGAUUAUAGAAAUUAGAAGACAUUUUUUUUGUUUCCGGACAAUUUACGUUUCAGACCUAUUUGGUCUUAAGUACAUGAAAAUAUUUAUUGUGCUUUAGGCCUAUUUGACCUUAGGUGCAUCUUAAUGUAAUUUUUGUACAUUAGACUUAAUUAGCUUAAGUGUAUUGCACUUCAUAUGAUUUUUCUUUUUUAAUAAGUCUAAAGUUGAUUUUAAAGUAGGUAGACUUGUAAAUUUUGUACAAAGUCGGUAUAACUUCAAUUGUAACCUCAAAACUAGGUAUAGAUACAAAUGGUUAAACUUGGAUGGGCUAGCGUGUUUUUAAAGUAGUAUUUACUUUUUAUCCAAUAUUUUUAAUGCAUAGCAAUAGUAGUCACUAGUCUAUUAAAAUUAUUAUGAAAAGAUUGUAUUACUUUUUCUUCUAUCUCUUUUCAGGAGAAGAACUGUGCAACUAAGCUCUUUCCCAUUUGUUGGAUUGGACUCCCUCCAUCGGAAAAUAUGAGUUGACACCAAAUCUCACAUUAAGGCUUUGAUCACAAUUGAAACCAUAGCGGAUGGCUUGCUAAUUUGAACUCUCUCACUUACCUCUGCAUCGUGAUACAUAUCACAAUGUGUGCAUUUUGGAAUAUAACUUAACCACGAUAUGAGGUCUUCUCACUAUAUUUGGAUUCAAGAUCUUUGUAUUGCUCCAUUAGUAGCUCAAGUCCUGUGGAUUGAGAAUGUUGAUUAGGUCAUUGCUAUACAAUGUAUUUUAUUACAAAUUGUAACAAUUUUUCUUUCACAAAUGCUGCUUUAAGUAUGGUGUGAUCGUAAUUGACUUUAAGAUAGGGAAGAAAUGACGUUUGGUUUUUUGCUACAUUGUGGAUCCUGAAUUUACAGUUAAAAGUUCAAAAGUUAAGAACACUUGGUCCUGACUUAGAAUUACAAGUUCAAAAGUUAACGACACUUGGUUCUCAACUUCAAGUUCAAAUUCAAAAGUUAAGGACACUUGGUCCUGGCCUUAGAAUUAUAAGUUCAAAAGUUAAGGACAUUUGAACCUGAACUUAAACUAAUAAGCUCAAAAGUUAAGGACAAUAGGUCCUGAACUUAAAGUUACAAGUUCAAAAGAUAAGGAUAAUAUGUUAUGAACUUACGCUAAGAAGUCCAAAAUAAGAACAAUAGGUCCUGAACUUAUAGUUACAAAUUCAAAAGUUAAGAACAAUGAGUCUUGAAGUCCCGAACUUAUACUAACAAGCUCAAAAGUUAAGGAUAAUAGGUCCUGAACUUAGGCUAAGAAGCUCAAAUUAAGGACAAUAGGUCCUGAACUUAGACUAACAAGCUCAAAAGUUAAGGACACUUGGUCUUGAACUUAUAGUUACAAGUUCAAAAGUUAAGAAUAUGUAGUCCUCAAGUCAUGUAGUUAAGUUUAAAAGUUAAGGACAUGUAGUCCUGAAGUCCUGAACUUAGAGUUCCAAAUUCAAAAGUUAAGUACAUUUAGUCCUGAAGUCUUGAAAUUAAAUUCAAAAGUUAAGGACAUGAGCAGAAGGGUAUUUUCAUCAGGACAGUUAAAAUUUAUUAAAACAGUGGCUAAAGACUAAAGACAUUUUAAAUUGUGGCUUAAAAGUAAAUGCACAUGUUAUUAGUGGUUAAUUAUGCACUUCUCGAUGCAAAUGCCCUAAUAUUUUAAGCUAAUUUUUUUAAUUUAUUAAAGUGAAACAAAAAGGACCAAAGCUCAUUAUUUACAUUCUUUUACCCUUACCCUUUCAGAGACAACGUGUGAGAGUAAAAAUUACUGGAAGGGAAAAUAUCGAUUUUAAUACUCGAAUUAUUGCUUAAUUCCAUUUUCAAUUCAUUUACUCUUUGACUACGCACAUGUCACGGCCCAAACUUCUAUCAAGUCGUAGCGGUACCUAACCCGAUUCGUUAGGUAAGAGAACUAAGAUAUAACAUGGUUUGAACUAAAGAUCAUGAAAUAAAUAAUCUAAUAAGAAUAUAAAAAUCAAUACAAUUAUCCCCAAGAACUAGUAGUACAAAUCAUGAUCCACUAAAAUUUAGAUUUACAAUAGUGGUACAAUUAAAUACAAUAAACGUUUAAAUAUAAAUAAGCAGAAAUAUAAUAUUCUAGGCUACUACGAACAACUGGCUGCUAAUGGUUGGAAUGCCUAUAUCUUCAACAAUCAACCCCGAAUGCUGCAAUGUUAAGCUCCAAAAUCUUAAUGCAAGAUGUAGAAGUAUAGUAUAAAUAUAACCGACUUUAUGUAUUCAAUAAUAGCGCUUACGCGCCGCACGCAGGCUUAGACGAGGAGGCUAAAAGGCGCUUUUGGGAGGACUUNNNNNNNNNNNNNNNNNNNNNNNNNNNNNNNNNNNNNNNNNNNNNNNNNNNNNNNNNNNNNNNNNNNNNNNNNNNNNNNNNNNNNNNNNNNNNNNNNNNNNNNNNNNNNNNNNNNNNNNNGCUGGUGGAUAUGAUGAGGUGCACGGGGGCUUUGGCUUUGGUGCCAGGAACGGAGGAGGCACUUCGCUGCUUGAUUUCGCCAGGGCUUCCGAGCUCCUAAUUGCGAACUUGACAUUCCGGAAGAUGGAGGAGCAUUUGGUCACCUUCAAGAGUUCGGCGGCGAGCACUCAGAUUGACUACAUCCUCAUCCGAAGGAGCGAUAGGGGCUUGUGCAAGGACUGCAAGGUUAUUCCGGGAGAGUCUCUUUCAACUCUUCAUAGACUGCUAGUGAUGGAUGUCGAUCUCUGGGUGAAGAAGAAGCGGAGGGGCGCACAGGAUCAACCGCGGAUUAGAUAGGGCGCUUUGUCUAAGGAGAAAGCAGAGGAGUUGGAAAGGAGGUUAGUAGAGGGCGGAGCUUGGAGAAGUUACGGGGAAGCGGACGCUANNNNNNNNNNNNNNNNNNNNNNNNNNNNNNNNNNNNNNNNNNNNNNNNNNNNNNNNNNNNNNNNNNNNNNNNNNNNNNNNNNNNNNNNNNNNNNNNNNNNNNNNNNNNNNNNNNNNNNNNNNNNNNNNNNNNNNNNNNNNNNNNNNNNNNNNNNNNNNNNNNNNNNNNNNNNNNNNNNNNNNNNNNNNNNNNNNNNNNNNNNNNNNNNNNNNNNNNNNNNNNNNNNNNNNNNNNNNNNNNNNNNNNNNNNNNNNNNNNNNNNNNNNNNNNNNNNNNNNNNNNNNNNNNNNNNNNNNNNNNNNNNNNNNNNNNNNNNNNNNNNNNNNNNNNNNNNNNNNNNNNNNNNNNNNNNNNNNNNNNNNNNNNNNNNNNNNNNNNNNNNNNNNNNNNNNNNNNNNNNNNNNNNNNNNNNNNNNNNNNNNNNNNNNNNNNNNNNNNNNNNNNNNNNNNNNNNNNNNNNNNNNNNNNNNNNNNNNNNNNNNNNNNNNNNNNNNNNNNNNNNNNNNNNNNNNNNNNNNNNNNNNNNNNNNNNNNNNNNNNNNNNNNNNNNNNNNNNNNNNNNNNNNNNNNNNNNNNNNNNNNNNNNNNNNNNNNNNNNNNNNNNNNNNNNNNNNNNNNNNNNNNNNNNNNNNNNNNNNNNNNNNNNNNNNNNNNNNNNNNNNNNNNNNNNNNNNNNNNNNNNNNNNNNNNNNNNNNNNNNNNNNNNNNNNNNNNNNNNNNNNNNNNNNNNNNNNNNNNNNNNNNNNNNNNNNNNNNNNNNNNNNNNNNNNNNNNNNNNNNNNNNNNNNNNNNNNNNNNNNNNNNNNNNNNNNNNNNNNNNNNNNNNNNNNNNNNNNNNNNNNNNNNNNNNNNNNNNNNNNNNNNNNNNNNNNNNNNNNNNNNCAGUGGUGCCCCUGUACAAGAACAAAGGGGACAUCCAGUGCUGCAACAAUUAUAGGGGCAUCAAAUUAAUAAGCCACACGAUGAAGGUUUAGGAGAGAGUGAUUGAGGCGCGGGUGAGGGAGGCGACGACUAUAUCUGGGAACCAUUUCGGUUUCAUGCCGGGACGCUCCACCACAGAGGCGAUUCACCUAGUCAGGCGGAUGGCGGAACAAUUCAGGGAUAAGAAGAAGGACCUUCAUAUGGUGCNNNNNNNNNNNNNNNNNNNNNNNNNNNNNNNNNNNNNNNNNNNNNNNNNNNNNNNNNNNNNNNNNNNNNNNNNNNNNNNNNNNNNNNNNNNNNNNNNNNNNNNNNNNNNNNNNNNNNNNNNNNNNNNNNNNNNNNNNNNNNNNNNNNNNNNNNNNNNNNNNNNNNNNNNNNNNNNNNNNNNNNNNNNNNNNNNNNNNNNNNNNNNNNNNNNNNNNNNNNNNNNNNNNNNNNNNNNNNNNNNNNNNNNNNNNNNNNNNNNNNNNNNNNNNNNNNNNNNNNNNNNNNNNNNNNNNNNNNNNNNNNNNNNNNNNNNNNNNNNNNNNNNNNNNNNNNNNNNNNNNNNNNNNNNNNNNNNNNNNNNNNNNNNNNNNNNNNNNNNNNNNNNNNNNNNNNNNNNNNNNNNNNNNNNNNNNNNNNNNNNNNNNNNNNNNNNNNNNNNNNNNNNNNNNNNNNNNNNNNNNNNNNNNNNNNNNNNNNNNNNNNNNNNNNNNNNNNNNNNNNNNNNNNNNNNNNNNNNNNNNNNNNNNNNNNNNNNNNNNNNNNNNNNNNNNNNNNNNNNNNNNNNNNNNNNNNNNNNNNNNNNNNNNNNNNNNNNNNNNNNNNNNNNNNNNNNNNNNNNNNNNNNNNNNNNNNNNNNNNNNNNNNNNNNNNNNNNNNNNNNNNNNNNNNNNNNNNNNNNNNNNNNNNNNNNNNNNNNNNNNNNNNNNNNNNNNNNNNNNNNNNNNNNNNNNNNNNNNNNNNNNNNNNNNNNNNNNNNNNNNNNNNNNNNNNNNNNNNNNNNNNNNNNNNNNNNNNNNNNNNNNNNNNNNNNNNNNNNNNNNNNNNNNNNNNNNNNNNNNNNNNNNNNNNNNNNNNNNNNNNNNNNNNNNNNNNNNNNNNNNNNNNNNNNNNNNNNNNNNNNNNNNNNNNNNNNNNNNNNNNNNNNNNNNNNNNNNNNNNNNNNNNNNNNNNNNNNNNNNNNNNNNNNNNNNNNNNNNNNNNNNNNNNNNNNNNNNNNNNNNNNNNNNNNNNNNNNNNNNNNNNNNNNNNNNNNNNNNNNNNNNNNNNNNNNNNNNNNNNNNNNNNNNNNNNNNNNNNNNNNNNNNNNNNNNNNNNNNNNNNNNNNNNNNNNNNNNNNNNNNNNNNNNNNNNNNNNNNNNNNNNNNNNNNNNNNNNNNNNNNNNNNNNNNNNNNNNNNNNNNNNNNNNNNNNNNNNNNNNNNNNNNNNNNNNNNNNNNNNNNNNNNNNNNNNNNNNNNNNNNNNNNNNNNNNNNNNNNNNNNNNNNNNNNNNNNNNNNNNNNNNNNNNNNNNNNNNNNNNNNNNNNNNNNNNNNNNNNNNNNNNNNNNNNNNNNNNNNNNNNNNNNNNNNNNNNNNNNNNNNNNNNNNNNNNNNNNNNNNNNNNNNNNNNNNNNNNNNNNNNNNNNNNNNNNNNNNNNNNNNNNNNNNNNNNNNNNNNNNNNNNNNNNNNNNNNNNNNNNNNNNNNNNNNNNNNNNNNNNNNNNNNNNNNNNNNNNNNNNNNNNNNNNNNNNNNNNNNNNNNNNNNNNNNNNNNNNNNNNNNNNNNNNNNNNNNNNNNNNNNNNNNNNNNACUUUUUUAUCCUAUACGCCGAGGGUCGAUUGGAAACAGCCUCUCUGCCCUUUCGGGCAGGAGUAAGGCUCAUCUACAUAUUACCCUCCCCAGACCCCACCUGGUGGGAAUAUACUAGGUAGUUGUUGUUGUUGUUGUUGUUGUUUUAUGUAUUCAAUAAGUAUCAAGACUAACAUUAGUGAUGUAAUAGGAAAAUUUAUUCAAUAGAUACUCUUUAUAUAAGUUGUGCAGUUCAUAAAGAUAUGCAAUAACGGAGAGAUAACCAAGAAAUAACCAAGGAAUAACAUGGAUCAAUAACACAGUACACAAGCAAAUGAAGAGGAAAUAGACAUGCUUUUCUAAUCAAACAGGUCAAAGGCAUAUACAAUGCACCAAAUUCACAUACAAGAGAAUAUGCACCAAAUAGCACUAACUCAAAUGCUCCUACAUGAAUGUAGAAUAUCUGUAUAUGAUAAAGGUCCAAUUUCAUAUCAAUUACCCAUUAGCGUUUAUCCAUAUGCUUCUAUACGAGUCAAAGAUAUCCAUGAAAGGAUCAACAUUAAUAUUCAUAUCCUUUAUCCACCCUUAUCUAGUAGAGACAUAUCAAGCACCAAAUUCAUUUAUCCAGUUCAAGUCACAGUAUCUCAUCAUAAUUUGAUACAAGAUCCUUGUACCUAACUCUACUAAUAGAACUCAUGAAUGUAUGAAAUACACCGCAUAAUAUAUAUGGAUGUUAUGCAUGAAUAUGAUAAUAUAAUCAUGCAUGAACUCACACACCUAACACAACUCCUAUGUGCUUGGCUCAAGAUCCAUAUGUCAAAUACCAAGCACUAAUUUAAUGCCUACGCUCAUAUGCGUUAAGUUAAAUUUCAAUGUUUUAAUGAUGACAAUGUUCAACUAAUCUAUUCCACCGGAUCAUCAACAUAAAAGAAAAACAAUGAGAAACUAUCAAAAGAUGUGAUUGCUAAAUUAAUAGACCUUAAGAAGAAAUCAAAAGCCUGCAGAUCUGCUCUGCCACAAUUAAGGAAAUCAGAUUACAAAUCAAGAAGUUAUUGACAUAUUCAGUAUCCAUAAUUAAAGCUCAGUCAAAGGGUUGAUUGUCUCGUAAAUAAAAGUUGUGACAAGGAAACCAUCAAUUCCAAGGGACCUACAUGUGUUCACACUCUGAUCCCUUCUUCACAAAGCUCGCCUCAACGGUCUUGAAAAGAAACUUGUGAUGGAUCUUAUUCAAACGUAAAUGCUUAAUAUAACAACGACGAAGUUAUCAAUGAAGAUUUGUAGGCGUUGAUCGCUCAACAGGUCAAUAAAGCUCUUGAGGCCUUUGCUAGCCAGUUACCUAUAGCACCAUCAACACCAAUUCCAAAUACCAACACUUUGAAAAACCCUCAUUCAGGGCUUGUUAAUUCAGGUAGUAUCGGAAUGCCCAGUGAAUCAUGAGAUGGAGAACCAAGUAACUUAGUCAAUUUCGAUCUACAAAAUUCAAUUCUAACAUUGCAAAAAUAUCUCAAGGAGCAAAGUGACUGCAUGGAGCAAAUACAUGGAGUAUCGCCUGUAAUCAAAGGAAUAGAUAUGGAUAAAUAUUCAUAGCAACCUUGGAAGCCAAGCGCUGCUCCUCUACCAAUCCCAAAGAAAUUCAAAAUUCCUGAUAUUCCAAAAUACGAUGGAACAACUGAUCCACCAGACCACGUGACUGCAUUCACAACUUGCGUAAAAGGCAACGACUUGUCCAAACAAGAAAUUGAAUAAGAAAUGGUAAAAAAAUUAGGUAAAACACUCACACAGGGAACAUUAAAAUAGUAUUCUCUUUUACCCAAAAAUUCCAUAAAUUCUUUUGUUGAGCUUGCAAACUCAUUUAUCAUAAGCACAUUCGAGGGCUCAAAAAGUUGAAAAGAGAAGGGAGGAUAUUUUCAAAAUCAGACAAGGGGACUCUGAGUUACUUAGAGAGUUGGUGGAUAGGUUCUAACAUGAAAGAAUGACGCUAUCACAUGUACCAGAUAAUUGGGCAGCUAUAGCUUUCACUAAUUACUUGAAUGAAAAAAGCUCAGAAGCCACCAGGCGACUCAAGGAAAGUCUUCGUGAAUUCCCAGCAAUGACAUGGAAUGACCUUACAAUAGGUAUAGCACGAAGUUAAGGAUCUAGGAAGAUAUUAUCUCACGAUAUAAAAAAUAAGAAAAGGUGAGUUAAAGACGGGCGGAAAUAGAAAAAAGGUCUGGAAAAAAUAGGUACGAACCAUAUAUGGGCCUCGAUGGAAAGGAUUUACGACCAAAGCAUGAUCAUUCGAGGUACGAUCGUAGAUCCACAAUUAGAGAAUCGGGCUCAUCAUCGUGGUAUGGGAAUGAUUGUAACACACGAGAGUCACAAGAUGAUUAUAGGAACCUGAAGGCCCGAUUUGGUGGUGAUAAUUUUAAUGUAAGCACUUCGGAGCUCGUAGCUAUUUUAAGAAGCAUGGGAGAUAAGGUACAGUGGCAAAAGAAAUGAGAUCAAAUCCAAAUAAACGUUAUCAUGAUCAUUUGUGUGAAGUCCAUAACGAUCAUGGUGACAAAACGGUAGAUUGUAGGUUGUUACAAGGGGAAAUUGAUCAUCUAUUGAAUAAAGGGUAUCUCACUGAAUUAUUCAGUGAGAAAGGUAAGCAAGCAUACAUGAAAAAUAGGCAGGAGCCCCCUAAACCCCUUUCUCCCAAAAGAACUGUCAAUGUUAUAAGUGGAGGUGAAGAAAUCAACCGGGUGACAUACACAGUAGCCAAUAAAGCUUCCAAAGUCACAAUUACCCAUAGGAAGUGGGUGCGACAUGUCUUAGAGGAAGAAAGUAUGACGUUCAAUAUUGCAGAUACGGAUGGCGUAUUAACUCCACAUAACGAUGCACUGGUAAUAUCUCUACUUGUGCAUGAUACUAAUGUGAAAUGAGUUUUGAUUGAUCCAGGUAUUUUGUGAACAUUAUUCUACUAAGAGUAUUACGGGAAAUGCAAGCUAAAGAUAAAUUAGUACCAAAUGCGCAUAGUUUUUCUGGAUUUGCAAUUCUAGCGUCUUGAUGAAAGGAGAGGUAAUACUCACUACAUUCCCAGAAGAUGUUAUCAAAGAUUCAAAAUUUCAGGUGGUAGAUAUGGAGAUGUCUUACAACAUGAUUCUUGGGAGACCAUGGAUCCACGAGAUGGACGACGCUCCAUCGACCUUACAUCAAGUUAUCAAGUUUCCAUAACCAUGGGGAAUAUGUCAAAUCCGUGGAGAUCAACAGACAUCCAGGAGUAUCAAUUCCGUAGCUGAUUCAAGUAUGAGAUACGAAGAAAAAUAGCAGUUACAGAAUCCAAUUGAGGAUAUCACGAUGCAAACCUCAACUGAACAAGGGCGAACAAAUGUUGACUCAAGGCCCGAUGUCAUCCAAGAACCAGAAGAAAAUGAGAAUAUAAAAACAACGAUUGAAGAACUGAAGGCCGUAGUGUUAUCUACAUAAUGGCCUGAAAGAAAAGUUCACAUAGAGGAUAAUCUAGCCGGGACAUGAAAGGUAAGUUAAUUGAAAUUUUGAAAACUAACGUGAACUAUUUUUCUUGGUGCCAUUCUGAUAUGAUAGGAAUACCACCGGAGGUAAUGACUCACAAGUUAAAUGAAUACCCAUCAUAUCCACCUAUCAAACAAAAGAAAAGAAAGCAAGGAACUUUCAAAAAUCAGGUAAUUCAAGAUGAGGUCCAAAAGAACCAGAAGAAAACGAAAAUAUAAAAGUAGCGCCUGAAGAGGUGGAGGCCGUAGUGUUAUUUACACAAUGUCCUAAAAGGAAAGUUUACAUAGGGGCCAAUCUAAUCCAAGUGAUGAAAGGUAAGUUGAUUGAAUUUCUGCAAACUAACGUGGAUUGUUUUGCCUGGUCCCACUCCUAUAUGACAGGAAUACCAUCGGAGGUAAUGACUCACAAGUUAAAUAAAGACCCAUCAUAUCCAUCUGUCAAAUAAAAGAAAAGAAAGCAAGGAACUUUCAAAAAUUAGGUAAUUCAAGAUGAGGUCCAAAAUUAUUAAAGAUCGGAUCUAUCUACGAGGUAAAGUAUCCUAAUUGGUUAGCCAAUACUGUUGUGGUACCAAAAAAGAAUGGUAAAUGGCGAGUUUGUGUAGAUUACACAUACCUUAACAAUGUACUAAAGAUUCUUUUCCAUUACCCCAUAUAGAUCAACUAAUUGAUGCUACGGAAGGACAUGAGUUGCUAAGCUUUUUAGAUGCAUAUUCAGGAUACAAUCAAAUCAAUAUGGAUUCUAUAGAUGAAGAAAAACUUCAUUUAUAACAGACAAGGGGACUUACUGUUAUAAGGUAAUGCCUUUUGGUCUCAAAAAUACUGGUGACCAAUAUGUUCCAAGAACAUUUGGGAAAAACUAUGGAGGUAUAUAUAGAGGAUAUGCUCGUCAAAACUCAACAUUCAGAGGAUCAUAUGUCGCAAUUGUCUAUACAUUUCAAAUAUUAUUUCUAACUGCGGUAUUGAAGUGAAUCUUGCACUGAUUAAGGAAAUUAAAGAAUCCCUAACAUGCUUACAAGUAAAAAAUAAGUGCAGAGGUUGACAGGAAUAAUUGUAUCUUUGGGAAGAUUCAUUUCCAGAUCAUAAGAAAAAUGCUUUAAAUUCUUUUUAGCUCUUAAAAAGCAAGAUCAGUUUGAAUGGACUGAGGAAUUUCAGCAGGCACGCAAAAUUUAAAGAUAUUCUUAUCAAAUCCACCAUUGCUCGCCAAACCAAAAGUUGGGGAAAGAUUGCUCAUCUACCUUUCUAUCUUCGAAGUAGCUGUAAGUGAUGUGUUAGUUCGUGAAGAUCAAGGUAAACAAUCUCUAAUAUAUUAUGUUAGAAAAUCCUUAUUAGAUGCACAGAUACGAUAUCCUCAAUUAGAAAAGCUUGCGCUUGCACUAAUCAUGGCAUCCAGAAAACUAAGGCCUUAUUUUCAAUAUCAUCUUACUGUCGUAGUAACUGCUUAUCUAUUAUGCAAUAUAUUACACAAGCACGAGUUGUUAGGUAAAUUAUUUAAUUGGGAUAUAGAGCUAAGUGAAUUUGAUAUCACAUACUACCCUAAAAUCACGAUAAAAUCUCAAGUGUUAGCUGAUUUUAGCCAAGGAAUGCAAUUAGAAGUAGAAAAAGAGCUACAUGUGUUUAACGGAUCUAAUCCAGGACUUUGGACCUUAUUUAUUGAUGGCUCAUCUAAUGUGAAGGGAGUAGGUUUAGGAGUUGAUUUGGUACCACCUACGGGUGAAACCAUUCGUCAUGCCAUAAAAUGCCAUCCUGUAACUAACAAUGAGGCAGAGUAUGAAGCUGUGAUUGUAGGUUUGUAACUGACACGAGAACUGUGUAUUAAUCAGAUCAUAUUCAAAAGUGAUUCACAGCUCAUAGUUAACCAAAUGCCGGGGACUUAUACAGACAGAGAAGAACAAAUGCAACAAUACUUAGAAAAGGUAAGGGAAUUGAUUAGGCAAUUUCAAACCCGAAAAGUAACGCAGAUAUCAAGAGAUAAAAAUGCGAAAGCAGACGCCCUAGAUAAUCUCUCAUCUGUGGCAGAUGUGACAAGUAAUGAAAAUUCUUAUGUAAUUCAUUUGUUUCAUUUGGCGCUCGAUCCAGACAAGAAUGAGGUAAAUUUCAAUAACUUAACUUGGGAUUGGAGAAACGAGAUUGUCGCUAUUUUGCAGUACGGUACUGUCUCUGAAGGUAAGAAGAAAGCUCACGUGAUGUAAAAAAAGGCUGCUCGAUAUUGCUUAAAGCAAGGUAUUCUUUAUCGAAAAAUAUUUGGUGGCCCCUUAGCAAGGUGCGUCGGGCCUUCUCAAACGUAAUAUGUGAUGAGAGAAAUACACGAAGGGAAUUGUGGAAAUCACGUAGGAGGCAGAUCACUAGUACAAACCAUGAUAAGAAUAUGUUAUUAUUGGCCUAAAAUGGAAGAAGAAGUGAAACAUUUUGUGGCUAAAUGUGAUAAAUGUCAAAGAUACGGUAAUAACAUGCAUUGACUUGCAUAGUUAUUACAUCCGGUCACUGCACCUUGGCCUUUUAUGAAAUAGGAGAUAGCUAUCAUGGGUCCACUACCACAAGCAAAAGGACAUGUAAAACUUUUGCUUGUACUCACUGACUAUUUUACUAAAUGGGUGGAAGCGGGAACAUUCAAACUGGUGUGGGAAAAAGAAGUUAGAGACCUCAUUUGGAGAAAUAUCAUAUGUAGAUUUGGUAUGCCAAAGGAAAUCGUGUGUGAUACCGGCCCUCAAUUUAUAGGCGCACAAAUCACAGAGUUUUUUCAAAGUUGGCAUAUCAAAAGGAUUACGUCUACGCCUUACCAUCCAAUGGGUAAUGGACAAGCUGAAUCAACAAACAAAAUCAUUAUCAACAAUUUAAAGAAACGUUUAAAGGAAUCCAAAGGUAAUUUGCCAGAAUUGCUACCUGGUGUUUUAUGGGUGUACUGCACAAUAACAAAAACAAGUACAGGAGAAACACCAUUCUCAUUAGCCCAUGGAGCUGAAGCCCUAAUUGCAGGUGAGAUAGGAGAGCCAACCACGAGGUUUACACUAGCGUCAAAAGAAUCCAUUGACGAAUAAAUGAGCAUAAGUCUUGAUUUACCUGAAGGAAAAAGGGAAGCAACAUUAACAAGAAUGGCAGCACAAAAGCAGGUUUUGGAAUGAUAUUACAAUCAAAAAGCGCGUCUAAGAUACGUCAAGAUUGGGAACUUCGUUCUAAAAAACGUUUUUCAAUCUACGAAGGCAACUGAUGCAGGGAAAUUAAGUCCAACUUGGGAGAGACCUUACAAGAUUCAUGGCAUUGCGGGAAAAGGGGCAUAAGAACUAGGAACAAUGGUUGGCAAGUUAUUACCCUUACAUUGGAAUGUUGUUCCUUUAAACAUAUAUUAUUUCUACGGAAUACCCAGGGGCAGGUAUCCUUAUUUUAAAAUUUUACUUUUGAAUUGUUAAAAUUUUACUAACGAUUUUAGAUGAUAGGCAAAAAGAUAACCCAUACUAAAUGAUGAGUCACGAUAUGCAAGGCACUUGGAAUUAAUUAAAAUUUCCGGUCCAGAGUUACAAUUAUUCUGAUAGAAAUUGAUACGAGUUAAGCAUUCUUCAUCUAUAAUCAUACCUCCGAGUCCUGUAUUUUUUUUUCUUUUACAGGAACAUGACCAAAAUGAGAAGAAUGAUCAAGUGCUCAGGGCUUCAUACUUUAACACUCAAACACUUGAGGAUUAUAUAAUAUACAUAAACACGUGCAUUAAGAAGGAAAAGAAGAAGAUUGAGAAACAAUCAAAGAUCAAGCCUGAAAAUUUCACUCAUAGAAUGAAUCAACUACAGAGCAGAGUCACGAGCUAAGGUGAAAGAAAAAUCUUAUCAUAGUUUGGGUAAAAGCAAUGUACUGAAACGGGUUAUGAAUAAAAAUCUUGUAUUAAUUUUAUGUACUGAAAAGGUUUAUAUGUAAAAUCCUUAGUGUAUAUUUUCUCUUUGAAAUCUAUUAUAUGAAAAAUAGUUACGAGAAAGUUAUAGAAGUAAUUAAAAUACAUGUAAAGUUUUAUUUAAAAACUUGGCAAAGUUUAAAAAAUAAUUGUUGAAGUUAUUCCAAAAAACGUGCGUAUUCCUAUUUCUUUUAUCGUACUUUAACACCAUUACGAAGUUGAGACGUCUUCUUCAUUAAGUGUCGAAUAUAAAAGGACCCUCUUUUAUAAAUUUCAUGAUUAAUAUAAGUAUUCAUGAAGUAAAAACAUAAGCAUUUUUGAAAAAUAAAAAUACAAGUUAUUAAGUAAGUCCUUAAAAAUAAAGGCAUAUAAUAGACAAAAUAGAAGUUCAAAAAAUAACGGAAACUUCUUCAUAUUAGAAAAGUUUAUACUAAGUAUGGACUUUGUCAUAAACCAAGAGUUGUUUAUAAAAAAUGCCCUACAAAAGUCUGCGGACGUAACAUUUUCAAUAAAUCCUUAAAAAGACCACGAGUUUCUAACACAUACCACUAUAAAAAAAGAAGGUCAAACACCACAAACUUUUCACUAAAAAGAUGAAGGAAAUGAAGCAUGUUCAUUAUCAGUAGCAGGCUCAACUUGACAUGAAGGAGUGGGGAUACCCCUAUCUACAUCAACAUUACUAGAAGCUUCAGCUACGGGAGGUGAAAAAACUUGGUUCUGUUGAGUGCUUUCAAUAGUCUCUUUAAUCUUGGCUAACUCAGAUUAGAAGUUAAAAUUCUCUUAGAUAGCUUCAACGAGGGUAUCAUGGCGAGAAUUUAAGAAUGCCCAAAUCACUUCAAUGACAGAUUUAUCUUCAAAAAUCUCGUAGUCUCUUUCCUAGUCAGCAAUUUAAUUUCUUAAAUUCUCAUUUUCAGUCAAGGCAGAUUCAUAAGAAGCUUGAAGAGAAGCAUGUGAAUUUUCUAAGGUACAAACUUUAUCAGAGGAUACCCAGAGGUCUUCUUGAGCUUGAGUCAAAGUUUCCACAAGUUCACCAGCACAUGCUUCUUUUUAUCCAAGAGAGGCUUCAACUCUCCGAUUUCCUAACUUUCCUUGGAAAGUUGUUCAGAAAAUAAGGUUUCAAGACGAUCUUUUUCUUUGCUUGCUUGAAUUGAGGAAACUUUUUCAACUGUCAAUUCUGAAGUCAAAUCCCUUACCUACUAAUCUAAGGUACCUUUACUUUCUUCUAACGCUUCUUUGUCAAUUUGAAGACUUUCACGUUGUUCACUCCAAUUAUCCACCUCCACUCGGUAGUCACGCACCAAUUGCUUUAAAAGGGUAACUCUCUUCAUCAUCUCCGUGCCGAUGAGAUUGACCUAAAAAGGGAAGGGGUAAUAUGCGAACCUUCAAAAUAGAAAAAGGAAAAGUAAAAUGUAAAAAGGGGAUACCUUUAAAAAAGCAUGCACGAUAUCGUUCAUCAAGGUCAAAGAACUGUGACUGUUGAGCUUAGCUCUCCCGACUGGACUAAUCAAAGGCUUUAGCCACACGACAGCUUGAACUGAUUUCCUCAAAAGAUUACCCUUAGCAGGAACUUCAAUAAUGACUUGCCUCAUAGCUUCACCUCUGCUUGAGGACCCAACUUUGGGGGUAAGGAGCAGAUGAGGAAGGAGUGGUUGAGGGAGGAACAACAGAAGUAGUUAAAACAGAUUGUAGAGGAACAAUGACAACCAUGAUCGGAAAAGAAGAAAUCACAGGAACAGAAGUAAUAGGAAUGGAAGUAGAAAAAGAAGCCAAGGGUGCUUCAUUAGAAACCAGACCAAAAUAUUCACUAUCAAAACCGCGGUUAAAAAGCUGCUCAAAAGAAUCAUGAGCAGUAGUGAACAUCAUCAACAUCAUUAGGGAUCAUCACGGGGGCAUAAAUAGAUUCGUUAAGAGGAAUAGAGCGGCGGAGGGAUGCUUCAUCAUUAGAUAAUCCAUCUACGAGCCCGUGGCCUUGCUACCAAGGAACCCCCAUCUUCCUCUUCCUCAAAAUCUUGGUCAUCAGCGGCUUUUCUUUUCGAUGAAGAGCCAAAAUUAUUUGUUGGGCUCUUUUUAAAGAGAUACCAGAAGCCACGACCGCUUCGACACUAAUCUCUCGAACUACAAAUCCUGAUAAAAAGAAGGAUUAAAGUAAGUUCAGAAAAAAGAAAUAUAUAAAAUAAAAAGAAACUCAAACCCUUAGUUUUUAUUUUCCAACCAAAUCGGUGGGAAAGAGUCUUCCAAGAUCUACUCUCUUCAGCAUUCAGUAACUUUUCUAACAACCACUGAAAUUGAGAAUUUCAUCAACAAUUUCCAUGGUUGUUGCAAAAGGAAAAAGAAACUAGAAUAAUGGUCAUCAAAAUCAAUGGAAAGGGAUACGAGAAAAUUAUUGAAAAGAUAAAAACUAUGUUUAUACUAAGAAGCAACCAUCAAAAGAAAAUGUGCAAUGAUGAAAAGGUUAAAAAUUGUCGCUUCGUAAUUAGUGAAGCCAUAAAAAAGCUUUUAAAAAGCGCUGAAAUUCGCAGAGCUAACAAAAAGGUGCCAUCUGUAAUAAGCAUUUAGAAGUGACAAUUGAAGCGUCGAUUUUAUGAUAAGCAUUAAUGGCGGCAAAGAUCCCACUUUCCAAAUAUUCAAUUGAUGAAUAAAUGGCAAGUGUGGGACUAUCUGUAUUGGAAAAAAUUGAGUUUACACAUAUCAAAGUGAUUGAAGGAUGAAACAUCACGACAUGAAGGCUGGUCAAAGAAUGAUGAUUAGCAAAGAGGUACGAGUUGCAACAAAUACGAGCAGAGACACGAGUAGACUCGACGCUCAUAUAUAUUUAAAUCCAAGAAUUUAGGAGAAUGAGCCUAAUAGUAUAAGGAAGUACAUAUAUAGUAUUUAAUGAACAUUAAAUAUUGAAAAUGUUAGAUAACCAGUAUUAAAUUAUAAUAAUUAUGUAAUGUAGCAUUUAUUGCCUUUAAUUGUCUCUAGUGACCCAAUUAUGACAAAAGGCAAAAUGGAUAUCUUAAAGAUAACUAUAAAAGGAAGGAGAUUAGUCAUUUAUAAGAACACGAAAAUUCAACUGAAUAUACUGGUUUACUUUGUUUUUUGCUAUUUAUUUGUUAUCUACAUCAAUUUUUUUUAUUCAUUUUCAAUUAUCAAUAACUCGAAUUGUUCUAAAAAUAAAGUUUUGACCGAAAUUCCACUUUUUAAUUAAACAAGCUGCAUAUAUUACAGUGAGUAAUACUUUCAAUUAUCUCCUAAUGCAGUGAGGCAAAGAUAAAGUGUUAUUAACGUAAGUCAAGUUGCAAAGAUACUCUUUGAUUGUCUCGAGUCACCUGUAAAAUGCUUGAAGAUUUUUAUUCUAAAGUGCAUGAAUAUUUUUCUAGAUUUCAAAGAAAGUUAAUUGCCUUCAUUCGAGCUCCAGGGGUAAAUCACUACAAUUUACCUGUAUGAAUCCACAUAUCUCUAUUAGUCAAAGGUCUGAACAACCACAAGAUACAAGUGUUAGUAUUCUAUAUUCAAAAAAUAUAUUAAAAAAAUAGAAAAACAAAAUGUUGAAGGACAGAAUUAAUCCGAGCCGCUAUAUUUACAUUGUUUCUUUAAGGAACUUAAUUCCCUCCUAUUACUCAAGAUUCACGAGUUGCUUCCGUCAGAACUGGAACAUCCUUCUCGAUAAACUUCUGUAGACUCAAUAUAGUCAAAUAGAAGAAUUUCUUUUGUUUCCAACAUUUGAAAUCAAACCCGAAAAAUUUUCUAGGCUUUUCUGCCGGAGCUGGUGGUGGCACAGAACGACUGGAAGUAGCAAUAUUGCUCAUAGAGGCAACCACGAGGGUUCCUGUCAGUUUUGUUAAUCACAAAAUAGAAACAAAAUUAUUUAACAGUAAAGUUUUUUAAAAUCUUCAAACCGAAUAACUUUAACAGAAAUAGAUCAAAUACCACAGUGAAGAUUUUAUUUUCUCAAAUUGAAUACAAAAUGAGUAGAAAAUCAGAAAGAUUAUUCUCGCACCGACAACCAAAGAGUUAAAAAUCCGAAGAUUUUAGUCUCCAAACUAAGAGUAGAAAUCACUAGGAUCUAAUCUCCCACAAACAAAAUAUACGAUGAAUAUAGAAAAAUAAAAUUAAGUUUCUUAAGUUUGUUAGUAUUCUAUAUUCGAAAAUAUAUUAAAAAAUAGAAACAAUGUAAAACCAAAAAUGUUGAAGAACAUAACUAAUCCGAGCCCACUGUUAACAGCGUUUCCUUAAGGAACUUAAUCCCCUCCUAGUACCCAAGGUUUAAUAUUAAUUCCUCCCAGGAUAAAACAAAUUACAUACUAGUGUAGUGGUACUUUAAAACCAGUGUCUCAGCAAACACAAUAAUCAGUAGCAAAUCACACUUACUAAUAGAUAACCUCACUAGUGUAGCGGUAUUUCAAACCCCAAUGACCAAUGAACUCAAAGAAUAGUAAUAAAUCACACUUACUGCUUUCGUUUAUGUUAAAAUAAUGCAGAUGGAAGAAGGAGAAAUAUUCAGAAUUUUCUUAUGAAAAAUCUGAGAGAGAGUUCAUGUAUUUAUAUCCAAAAUGUAGGGUAAUACUGAAGAGUUCCAACUCUUCAUAUAAGGCUUCAACUCAAAAUGGUUAUUUUAUAAAAUGGCCAUUUACCCAAACUACCAAAUUCAAAUUAAAAGUGGAAAAAAUGGAGGAUAAAAAUAUAAUUACCGUUACAGAAACGAUCUAAUUUGGAUUAAAUAUAAUUGCAUUAAUAUUAGCAAAAAAAAUUGUCAAAAAAAUAAUCAAUCAAAUAAUUUGAUCAAAGCUGAAGUCGAAGGCGAAGCCGAGCCAAGCAAGCAACGAAGAUGACGACGCAGGGUUACCUUCUUCUCAACUCUUUAAGAGUUAGAAGAAGUGCAAUUGCAAAUAUACUCAUCAAAACUCUUUUCCUCCUCUAAUUUGGGACAAUGCCCUUUGUCAAAGAGGGAAAUUCAAAAAAUUCAUAUUCAUCCCAUUUUCCGUUCACUCUAUUUUAAGCUUGUAGAAGCUUAAACCCAACAAUCUCCACAUGAAUGGGGAAUGAUUAUAAAAUGUACAAGAAUAAAAUGUGUGACUUACAAGUAAGAAUUAAUUACAUCUAGAUAAAUAAGUUUUUCUUUAGACUUUCUGUAAUGAACUUAUAUCGGAUGUACUCGGUCAAUCGGUAGAUUUGAUACCUUUGAACAAUUGAACUUUGUUGUAUGCCUAGACUACCAUAAGUCACACAAUCAACCCUUAAGCGUCUUUGAUUCUCAUUUUUGUGUUCGUUUCAGCCAUGAACACCGCCUGAUUUCAUAAGUGCGUAGAGAACUACCUGAUAGCUUUCUUCUCAUAUGAUAUUUCGAAUAGUGAGAAAGUGAAAUAAUGGGGAAUAUAAUGGAGCGGACGAAUACUCUAUUUCGACUAGAGGAAGAAUCUUUAUUAAAUAGGAUGCCUCCCAAGCGCCGAGGACUAACCGUCAUAUUCUCAAUCGGCUUUGCCUCGUUGCAUACUUUUGUUUAGUAUUCCUUACAGCUAUUCUCCAAUCACCCGAAAGCCUUGCAAAAUAAGUACUUUUAGUUUUUGUAGUUGCGAAAGAAAUAUAUUAUUAAUAUAAAAAAAUAUAACAAUUAGUUUUACAAUAUUAUUUACAAAGAAAUUAAUAUAUAAAGAAACAAUAUCUAUCUUAAAUUUUAAAUUAUAAAGACAUAUAAUUGUUAAAGCUUAGCUUUUAACUUUGAUAGUUAAUUUUAUAUUUAAAAUUUGUAUUUAACUGUGUAAUUAUAUUUAUGUAUUCAAAUAUUAUACUUGUAAUUACAUUGUAACUACAUUUGUAUUUAUACUGCAAUUAAAUUUUGACAAACAAACAAACCAUCAUAAUUACGAUAUUAUAUAAUUACUAUUUUAAUAAUUAUACCAAUUCCAAUUAGCUAGUGGCUUUCCAAAUAAACCCUUGUAUAUCUUGAUGGAAUUCAACAAGUUAUGUAUGAAUUUUAAAGUACUCUUUCGAGUGCUGUUGCAUUCAGAUUUCAAGAUGAUAAAUAGUUAUUGAGAAACUGGAUAUUGAAUGCCACGCGGUUUUGUGAGGCGGAAAAAGAUAAAAGAAAUUAAGGAUUUUAAAUUAAAAGCGUAAACAAAGAGUUGACUUUUUGCAAACAAAUGAGUAAAUGCUAAUUGCUGUCAUUUUGACUCUUUUUGUUGGGAUAAACCUUUCACCUCUUCAUCUUUGGUCAGCGUAAACAUCACCUUGGUCUUCUCUCCCUUCUCUCUCUUCUCAAAUCAUGUAUAUAUAUAUAUAUACAAGAACCCCCUUUGUCUUAGAUGCUAUAUAUUGUCUCAUCAUUUCUUUCAUAUCAGAAGAAGAGCUAGCUAGAUAAACAAAUAAAGCUAAGUACUUUAUUUGUUUUCACACUUGAACUCCUCAAAAAGAUUUCUAAUAAUAUGGGAAGGCCACCUUGUUGUGAUAAAAUUGGUGUGAAAAAAGGACCAUGGACACCAGAAGAAGAUAUAAUUUUGGUAUCAUAUAUUCAAGAACAUGGUCCUGGUAACUGGAGAGCUGUUCCUACUAAUACUGGUAAACAUCCUAAUCUAACUUCUUCUUUUUUUUUCCUUUUUUCUUUUUCUGGGCUUUUGGGGUUGGUUAAAAUCAUUAAAUAUGUGUAGUUAAUAUUCUGCAGCUCUAUCACCUCCUUCUUGAAUGAAUACAUCGAUCUCAUUAAUUAGAUCUAACUUUUUGUAUACUCACAACCUUUAAAAAAAAUAAAAAAUCUUUGUCUUGGUUUUUUCAGGAUUGCUUAGAUGCAGCAAGAGUUGCAGACUUAGAUGGACUAACUAUCUGCGUCCAGGCAUCAAACGUGGCAACUUUACCGAGCAUGAAGAGAAAAUGAUUAUUCACCUACAAGCUCUUCUUGGCAACAGGUACUAAAUCAAUCUCUAAACAAGAAUUUAAACAAAUUCUUGUUUUUUCUUUGGUUUCUAGGGCUAAAGUCUAGGGCACACGGAAUUGAACUCAAUAUUUUCGACAAGGAACAUACAUUCUUUUUUUUUGGUUUCUAGGGCUAAAGUCUAGGGCAGACUUAAUUGAACUCAAUAUUUUUGACAAAGAACAUACAUAUAUUGACUCGAAAGAUAUAUAUGUACAAGAGAAAAAACCACUAUAAUUUUGACAAUUACUAAAUUUAAACCUAUAUUUAUAAGUAAUAGAUUCAGUCUUAACAAACUUUACAUUAAGUUAAAUCCAUCAGUUUUUACGAAAUCUUAAUAGAGAUAUUUACUUGUUCAAUUUUCCAGUAGGUAUGGUUGGAUCUUAUAUCAUUUAUCUAACUCUUGUCUCUCUUUUUUGGUUCUUGUUGAUAUAGAUGGGCAGCCAUAGCUUCAUAUCUUCCACAAAGAACAGACAACGACAUAAAAAAUUACUGGAAUACUCAUUUGCAAAAGAAACUUAAGAAGAUUCAAGGUCAUGAUCAAAAGGAAAAAUCAUCAUCUUCAUCAUCAUCAUCUCAAUCAAUCUCAAAAGGACAGUGGGAGAGGAGACUUCAGACAGAUAUCCACACAGCUAAACAAGCUCUUUCUGAUGCUUUAUCCCUUAUCAAAAGAACCACGGAUUUCUCACCAAUUAUUAAUCCUAGUACUAAUUCGUUUCCUGUCCAAACAUCUACUAAUACCUAUGCGUAUAGUGCCGAUAACAUCUCUCGAUUGCUUCAAAAUUGGAUGAAAAACUCGCCAAAAUCAUCUCAAAGCAUAUCUAAUAACUCAACCACUAGUCAGUGUUCUUUCAACAAUUUAUCAAUCGGGACGGGUUCGAGUUCUAGUCCUAGUGAAGGAACCAUGAAUGCACCAACACCAGAGGGAUUAGACUCACUCUUUAGCUUCAAUUCAUCCUAUAAUUCUGAUGUUUCUCAGUCCAUGUCGGCGGACGAGGUUGUUGCUUUCACACCUCAGAAUGCUGGAAUUUUCCAAGUCGAAAGCACCAAACAAUAUUUAUCAAAUUUCAAGGAUGAAAACAGAUUUUUUUUCCAAGAGGGAAAUAGCAAACAAAAUUUGGAGACGGAAGUACCCUUAACUUUGCUGGAAAAUUGGCUCUUUGAUGAUUCUAAUGUACAAACACAAGAAGAGCUAAUGGGAAUUGGAAUAGGCAUGGAAUGGCUUUGAGGUAGAACUGCUGAUUUGUUUUGAGGAAAUAUAAUCUUGAAGAAAUAAUGAAGGAUGUAUUUCUUCAAAACAAAUAUUGACAGUUUUGGUUCUUUUUGCUAUUUUCAGGUUGUUACUUGUUAGGCUUUGGACUGUAUAGGUUUUAAUCAAUUUCUAGCCUCAGUAGAAACUUGUUAGAAGAGCAUGAGAAAGUGUAACUAUAUAUGUAACCUUAAAUCAGCAUAUGUACUAGUAGAUAUAAAUAAUAAAAGCAGUACUCUAUGCUAAGAGCUUCAACUGUUUGUACUUUAUGCUCCACUUUAUGUUUUUUUAAUUCUUUUAUUUGGUUGCUCAACAUUUUUGGUAUGAUGUGAGAAAUAAGAAUUAGGGUUUGAUUUCAGAUGCUUCCAAGUUCCAUUUACAUCAUCAACAUAGGGAGUUUAUUUUCAUAUAUUCUGCCUCUCUGGCUUGAUGGGCAUAUGUAUAUCUUUAUUUUCACCACGUAGUUUUGAACGCAAAAAAAGAAGAAUAUUUUCAUCCUAUACAGAGCACAUAUAGCAUCAUUGUUCAUCAUUUUCGAGCUAAUUAUCAGAUGAGUGUACCUUAUAUCCAUAAAUGCACAUAGUGGACAUGAUUCUUCCCAUUAAGCCAGUUGCUAAAAUCAUCUUAAUUAAAUUGAAAUGAGAAAAAGCCACGGAUGCAGCGAUAGACCCACCCUUGUCGAAGUUUUUUCUUAUAUAUUACUUAUUUAUAUUUUGACGUCCUUAAUGAGUACUCUGACUUCACUACUGCUAUGAGAGUUUAAUCAUGAGUAACAAAAUUUUAAGCAAAAGAACUUUCUCUCUUUAGAAUGAGAGCUUGUCUCAGCUAAGGGUGAAAUGACGAAGAAUUAACGGACUGGAGGGAAAGGACAAUUAGGAACAAUGAAUUAACAGAGAACUAUUGGCAUGAGAGUAAUUCCACAAACUAAAGAUGCAAGGAAAACUAGGAGCGUUAAUGUUGUACAAGGCGUAAUUCUGCUGGAAUUGAAGCAGACACCUGUGGUAGGAUCAUCAACGGAAACACCAAUGGCAACACCGACCGUAAUUAAGCAGACGGAUGCUAGCAAUCAAGCACAGUCUAGUAGGAAGAAAUCAUGGGCGGAACAUGUGGAAACGAAGGAGAAAAUCAUAGUUAAAUCUCAAACCUAGCUACAAAUUUGAAAUCUUGCAGUAAGAUAGUAGGAAGUACACCAGUAGCUGAGGGAUUUGACGUAGAAGGCUUAGUGAAUUGUAAUUCUAAUGUCAAAAUUACGAUGGAAGAUGCAAAAGAGGAGAUAGAAUAUUGGCAAACUGCGAUUGUAUAUUUUGCGGUGGGAUUAAAUCCCCCUCAAACAGUGGUGGAGGGAUAUUUCAAUCAUAUAUGAAAUGCUUUGGGGAUUGAUAAGGUAGCACAAAUAAAAAAAGUAGUGUUUAAGGUCAGAUUCCAUAGUAUAGAAGGGCAUAUGAAGGCAAAUUAAGGGGGAGUGGAGAUAUUUGAUAGAAAAUCAAUGGUAGUUAAGCCAUGAAUCAGGAAUGAAGAUAAUGAAUGUAACAGUGGAACAUGUGCCUAUAUGGAUCAGAUUAGUGGGUCUAGAUCUGAAAUACUAGGGGCAAAUAGUUCUAACAAAAAUAGUUGGGCUGGUGGAAAAAUCUAUGAAAGCUGAUAUUGCAACAACGAGCAAAGAGAAACUCAUGUAUGCAAGGGUAGCAGUAGAAGACAUUUGCAUAAAGCAUAUCAAGAAACUGCUAUGUUUGAAAAUGAAUUGGGAUGAAUUAUUGAACAGAAAAUAGAAUAUGAAUGAAAACCUAUAAUAUGUUGAUAAUAGGUUAUAUAGUUGAUAUUUACAUAUUAAUAUGACCAUACUUUGUUGUUAUUUUAUAGAUAAAUUGCCAAAAAAUGCUCUAAAUAGUGUCCUUUUGUUUCGCAGGGAAUAUUAUAUGGGAGAAAACAACAUGGAGUGUGUUGGAGGCGAUUAUAUGAAGAAAAGGCCCACUCGAGAAGUACCCGAGCACGAAGAAGCAGAAAUGGUCCGGGCAAGAAGGCCAUUGCAACCGCGGUAGCACCAUGGUGAACUACGGUGGAUUAAUAAGGCGAGGCAAAAAGAUCAGCUUUCAUCGCGGUAAACUGUUCAUGCGGCUGGAAGUUUGACGACCAAAGUGUAAUUUCGGGGAUACUUUUGUAAAACCCUUAUAAGCUUUAGAAACUCGCCCAAGAUUGCACUAAGCUUGUUUUUAGACUACUUUUGGAGACGAGAACAACUGUGAGAAGACCAACCGACAUUAGAGUUUUUCUAUCUACUUUUAAUUCUUGUUAUUUUACAUUGUGAAUAAUCUAUUAGUUUUCUCUUAUUUCAUUAUGAGUAGCUAAACACUUAUCUAGGGUUGAUGGAACCAAUUGUUGGUUGAAGUUUUGACUCGAGUUGUUAUAGUGGAGCCGAAUUUAUGAUAUAAUUGUUCAACUAUGUUUUGUAUGGUGAUUAAUUGAAUGGACCCUUGGUUAAUCGCGUCUAAUUACCUUAUAUUGCUUGAGAAAGGGUAUUACGUUAGACCGCUAUUGAACAACACUAUUUUUAGGUAAUUGAAGAGAUUCAUUACUUGAAUUUAAUAGUGAGUUUAGAGAUAACAAAACUUUGGUGGGAUAAUUUAGAGUUGCAGACAUAUUAUUAGAUAGAGUAGUUCGAGAGAAUGCUCUAGUUAAUUAUUGUAGUUGAUCGAGAGAUAAUUACAAUAACCCAUAACGGUUAAUCCUCAUAGAGUAGUACAGUGAGAUUAUAGCUGAAGAGUCAAGACCUAAACUAGCAAUUGGAGAAAUCACUUCUCUAGAACAUUUUACCAUUGAAUUAUCCUUUUUUUCGCUUAUUGUAGUUUUUAAUAGUAGUUGAAGUAGUUAAACAAAAAUCCAAUCCUAUUUGAUAAAACAUAUUGCAUCUAGAGAUUGAUUGAAUUGAUAAUAUCAGUGCCGAAUAGUGGAAUAAAUAGGUUGUUUCCCUAAGGAUUCGAUUUCUGACUUAAAAACCAUAUUAUAUUUGUAGCAACCUCUUUACCCGUUAAAUGGAAUAGUUGGGCGUUAUCAGAUUUUUGGCGUUGUUGCCGGAGAACUAAUUGUGUUAUUUAUUACAACUUAGAAGUAAUGUUUAAAAUUAUUAAGUCAAAUCUAUUUUCAAAGGUGUUAAACAAUUUUCAUUGAAUUUCUAACGUUUGAACUCUUGUGGACUUCAGGUGUAUGCCUAGAAAUUCUUCGAGGACUUGAGAACUACUUGAAGGCUUUCAGACGCAAAAAAAAUAUUUAGGGCAUUGAACCGUGCCAACAAGAGAAUCCAACAAUCAUAACAACCACACCAGCUCGAAUUUGACAUGGGUGAUGCAGAAAACGUCAACGAAAAUGUCGAGGAUCCGCCAGUGAUCCCUAACGUUAGAGUAGUGGUACCUUUUGUACCAGAAGGUGCACUUUGUGAUUGGGCACAUCCCACAGCUGACAACCUGGCAACUGCCAUAGCUGUGCCCGCAAUUCAAGCGGAGACGUUCCAGAUCACUAACAACGUGCUGCAUCUGCUGAAGAAUUAGGGAUUGUUCUCUGGGUCAACAUUGAAGACUCUUAGCAACAUUUGAAAAAUUUCUGUCAAUUUGUGUGACUUAAAGGCAACCAAAUGUAACCCCGGAAGCUAUCAAGAUAUUACUAUUCCCAUUCUCUGGGACCGGGGAAGCUCAGACUUGGCUAAAUUUGCUCCCUAUCAAUUCCAUUGUCACUUGGGAGGAAUUAGUAAAGCAAUUCCUGAAUAAGUUCUACCCUUCCAACAAGACUGCAAGGUAGAUUGAUGAAAUAUUGCAGUACAAGCAGCAGCCGACAGAGACCUUGCAGGAAACUUAGGAAAGAUUCAAAAGUUUGUUGGUGAAGUAUCCUCACCAUGGCAUUCCAGACCAGAUGCUUGGCUAGAGGUUCUGUAUGGGUUAGCUAACAAUCUAAAAGCAAAUGUGGAUGCUUCAGCUGGAGGUGCCUUUUUAAGUAAGACAUUCACUGAGUGCAAAGUCCUCUUUGACAAGAUGUCCCAGAAUUCGGGAAGGAUGACUAGAGGUACAACACUGGCACCCAUUACAUUCAGUUCCUCUUGACCCAAAUAAUUUAUAUGCAGAGAACAUGGCCACACUCAUGACUCAGAUGAGUAUUUUGACGAAGAAGAUAGAUGAAAUGGUUACCAAACAAGUGCAUAUUGUUGACACAACAAAUGGAGGACUGUGUACACCCUCUGUUAAUCAGUCUUAUGUGUGUUCAUGGAGUGGAGAAGGUGAAAAUCAAGGGGAAAGGGAAGAUAUUAUUUUGGGGUUAGAGACAAGAGGGACGACAGUGGAGACCGACACCAAAUCUGCAAUACAAACCCGACAUGCCUCAUCCUAAGGGCAUGCAGGCUCAAGGCCAAAUGGUGCCAUACAACCAGAGACAAUAGGGUUACCCACAGCAGAACCAGCAAUAGUUAAUAUAUCAGCCACCUCCUCAGCAGCAAGAUAACAACAUGGUAGAGAUUAGAGCGAUGCUCCAACAACUCAGUGGGACAAAUGGUAAGAUACAAGAAAAUUUGGGAGUACAUGAUUCAGCUAUAAAGAACAUUGAAACUCAGUUGAGGAAGUUAUCUAUGGCUUUAAACAAUCACCCCUAGGGAAUAUUGCCAGCAGACACAAAUAUUAACCCCAAGGAGCAAAACUCGAAUUAGCUGAUGGCAGUAAGUCUCCAGAAUGGGAGAAAUUUAGACAAAGAGCAGGAGGUUACACAAGCUAGCAAAGAAACUAUGCCAGCCACUCCAAUUCCACUAGAGAUAGAUGAAACAAAAAAUCCGACUGAAGUGGUGGUUGGACAGGGGCAAGACGAAAAAGGUAAGGCUAAAGCAAAUGAACCAGUAGCCAGACAGGUGACGCCUCUUAUGUCACAGAACCCCAAUAGAGAGAAGCCAGCAAGCAGUGCACAAUGAGUGGUAGCUGCAUCAUUCCCUCAAAGACUAGUAAAACAAAAGAAGGAAGAUCAAUACAAGAAAUUCAUUGAGAUGCUGCAUUAAAUUCGAUUGAAUAUUCCCCUGAUGGAUGCUUUGAGGGAGAUCCAGGUUAUGCGAAGUUGAUGAAAUACCUAAUGUCAUGGAAGUUUAAUUUUUAGGACCUAUCCACAGUGACUUUGAUGCAUACCUACAAUGCAGUAGUGACCAGACCGAUGGCUCAAAAGAUGUCUGACCCAUGUAGCUUCAAUAUUACUUGCACAAUUGGGAGUUAUGCCUUAGCAAAGGCAUUAUGUGAUUUGGGAGCUAGCAUAAACUUGAUGCCUCUGGAUGUAUACACCAAACUAGGCAUUGGCAGAGCUAGACCGAUGCUGCUACAGUUGGCUGACCGCACGGUAAAAAGGACUACUAGGAUUCUUGAUGAUGUGUUGGUGCAAGUGGGGAAGCUCAUGUUCCCUGCAGACUUUGUUAUUCUGGACUAUUAGGUAGAUGAGGAGAUACCUAUCAUUUUAGGCAGGCCAUUUGGCCACUGGGAGAGCACUGACCGAUUGUGAGACUGGUGAAUUAAAAAUGACACUGAAUGAUGAAGAAGUCAUAUUAAAUGUUUAGUAAUUUAUGAGGAGACCCAGUGAAUAUGCUAAUUGCUCUCUGUUGGACGCAAUUGAUGUGAUCCUGCAAGAAGAUGAUGUGACCCUGACUGCUAAUGAUCCAUUGGAGGCAGGUCUGACAAACUUAGAAGAGAUGGAUGGUGAAGGGUUAGCUGAGUGGUUUAUGGCACUUGAAGGCACAUGAUUCUGGAAAAGGGAACCUUAGUUUGAGUACCUUGAGUUAGAAAAAACACACUACCAGCAAAGCCAUCAGAAGAGGAACCAUCCAAGAUGGAGCUGAAGCCGCUCCCAGCUCAACUCAGGUACAUUUUCCUAGGCCCUAAUUCUACUUAGCCUAUUAUUAUAUCAUCCGGUUUACUAGAUGUGCAAGUAGAACAUCUCUUAUAGGUACUGUAGGAAAGUAAGACUGCCAUUGGCUGGACCAUGGUAGACAUAAAGGGUAUCAGCCCAGCCUUCUGUAUGCAUAAGAUUCUCUUGGAAGAAGGGCACAAACCUUCCAGAGAACAUUAACUAAGGUUGAACCCGAAUGCAAAGAGGUAGUAAAUAAGGAAGUGAUCAAAUGGUUAGAUGCGUGAAUCAUCUACCCCAUUUCGAAUAGCAAUUGGGUGAGCCCUAUCCAACGUGUUCCGAAAAAAGGGGAAUGACUGUUGUGCUAAAUGAGAACAAUGAGUUGAUCUCAACUCGUACAGUCAUGGGAUGGUAGAUUUGCAUGGAUUACCGAAAAUUGAACACAGCCACCCAGAAGGAUCACUUCCCCUUGCCUUUCAUUGACCAAAUAUUGGACAGGCUGGCGGGGCGAUUGCACUUCUAUUUCUUGGAUGGAUAUUUGGGGUACAAUAAGAUAUCAAUAGCCCCCGAAUAUAGAGAGAAAAAAUUCUGCACUUGUCCUUAUGGCAUCUUCGCCGUUCAAAGAAUGCCUUUUGGUAUUUAUAAUGCACCGACGACAUUUCAACGGUGCAUGUUUGCCAUUUUCUAGGAAAUGGUGGAGGAUAAUAUGGAGGUCUUAAUGAAUGAUUCCUUUGUGGUGGGAGACUCAUUCGAGGACUAUCUUCACAACUUAAGAAUAGUGAUCAAAAGAUAUAUGGAGUCAAAUUUAGUGUUGAACUUGGAGAAGUGCCAUUUUAUGGUACAUGAAGGGAUAGUCCUUGGGUAUCAAGUAUCCAGUAAAGGAAUUGAGGUCGACCAUGACAAGGUUAGAUGUGAUUGAAAAGCUACCACCGCCUUCUUCAGUCAAGGAUGUGAGAAGUUUCCUUGGGCACACCGGGUUCUACAGGCGAUUCAUAAAAGAUUUCUCCAAAAUUGCUAACCCAUUAUGCAAACUUCUUAAAAAGGAUCACCCCUUUGUAUAUAAUGAUUGCAGGUUGGAAUUUGAGGAGCCGAAGAAGAGAUUGGUUACUGCACCCAUUAUUGUUGCACCCAACUUGGAGCAACCAUUUGAGCUCAUGUGCAACGCAAGAGACUAUGCCGUACGAGCAGUCUUGGAGCAACGAAAGGAUAAGUUGAUGCACCCGAUUUACUAUGCAAGUAGAGCACUAAGUGGUGCACAACUUCGUGAGUGCGGUAUUAUUAUUGGGAUGAACCUCUAUUAUUUAAAUAUGUGUAGAUAACAUGAUCCUACAAUGUAUCCCCGAGAAAGAUCAACAUGCUAUUUUGCAGUCUUGCCAUGCUUCACCAUAUGAUGGAAACUUUGGAGGAAUUCAAACAGUAGCAAAGGCGUUGGAGUCAGGCUUGUACUGGCCUACUCUAUUCAAGGGUGCCCAUGCCUGGGCUAAAAGCUGCGAUGAAUUCCAAAGGACAGGUAACAUAUCUCGUAGAUACGAGAUGCCAAUGACUACAAUUCAAAAGGUGGAGAUUUUUAAUAUGUUAGGGAUUGAUUUCAUGGGGCUGUUCGUCACCUUAUAUGGUAACAAGUACACAUUGGUAGCAGUUGAAUAUGUCUCCAAGUGGGUCGAAGUAGUGGCUCUUCCGACCAAUGAUGCAAAAGGGGUACUAGGCUUUCUAAAUAAGAACAUUUUCACACGUUUUAGUACCCCAAGAGCUAUACCUAGUGAUGGGGUAACUGCAAUAGAGCAUUCGCACGGCUGCUGGAAUAAUAUGGUGCUCAUCAUAAAAUGACCACCCCGUACCACCCACAGUCGACAGACAAGUUGAAGUGAGCAACAAGGAGAUUAAAAUUGUCCUCACAAAAAUAGUGAAUGCAAUAAGGACUGACUGGGCAAAGAAAUUGGAUGAUGCAUUGUGGGUGUACUACACAACCUUCAAAUCCGCAAUUGGUAUGUCACCAUACAAGCUGGUGUUUGGCAAGGAAUGUCACUUCCCAGUUGAGCUAGAGCAUAAAGCACGUUAGGCAUUGCGGUAGUUAAACUUAGACAUGGAGACAACAAGUACUAACAGAAUCACUGGUUACAUGAGCUCGAGGAAUUCAGGUUCCAGGCUUUUGGGAGUGCUAGAUUAUCAAAGAAAUGAUGAAAUUAAUGCAUGAUAAGCACAUCUUAGAUCACAACUUCAAACCCGGAGAUCUUCUAUUGUUAUACAACUCGAGAUUGAGAUUGUUUCCGGGUAAGUUAAAGUCCUAGUGGUCAGGAUCCUUUAGAGUGGUGCAAAUGUUCUUAAGUGGAGUCGUAGAGAUUGAAUAAGAAGAUAGGACAAAUAAGUUCACAGUAAAUGGGUAAAGGUUGAAACAUUACCUAGGAAUGGCUGAAGAAAAAGGGGACAUAGUGGUAAUCAAUUUGGAAGAGCACAGUAUGCGAAUGAGGAGUGAUGAUCAAAUACUGGCGUCGUGCCACAACGUUAAAUCAAGCGCUGCGUGGGAGGCAAACCAUGAGUGUAUUGUUAGUGUCAUGUAACUUCAUAUAUAAAAAAGAAGCAAUUCCAGCACCGUGACCGUAGUGAACCGCGGUGGAAGGCAAACAUUCUGCCUCACAUUCUUUAUUCCACUGCGACCGCGAUGGACCACGGUAAAUUGCGGUGAGGCCUGAACAUUCUUCCUCAAGUUUUUAAACCCACCACGGUCGACCGCUGGGGUACCAGGCAUGUUAAUUUUUUUUCCGUUUUUCUUAUUUUCUUAUUUUCUUCUUCUUUUAAUUUUAAACAUCAAAACAAACCCCCCUCCUAAAACCAAACAUAACCGACCCCCCUCCCCCAAAUUCCUAAUCUCUCUCUCUCUCUCUAAAACACAACCCCCCAAAUUCUCUUUUCUUCCUCUUCUUCUUCUAUAUUCAUACUACUCCCAUCUCCAUUCAUCUCCUCUUUUGUCCAUAAAGGUAUGAUUCUAACUCUCCCUUCUCUUUUCCUUUUGUACUUUGUGUUGUUUAUGCUAGUUAAGGGUGAUAUGGUGUUGUAAUUGUACUAGAUUUUUUAGUUUUGUUUCUUCUUGUUUUCUAUGUUUAAUUUUUUUUGACCUUUAUUGGUAAAGGGAAUGUUAAUUAAUGUGGUGGAAAGGUGUUUGUUGGUGGGUGAUUGAAUUACACAAGUGUGGGGUGUGUUGAUGUAGUUUUAUACUUGAAUUGGGAGGAAUUUUGAGACUCAUGAGGGCUAUAUGUGUUUAAAUAAUGCAACGCCCACAAUGUGUUUGGUAAAUUGCCCCAAUGGAGUUAUAAGAAGAUAUUGCGACAUGGUAAUAGUGAAGUCUGAGUAACCAUCCAUAGUCACAUAUUUCGAGCACUUACUAAUAGGCACUUCUCUGUUUUGACAGGUACAAUGAGCUCAUCUUGAAAGUGAUGCAACACCUGGCCCUCAACUAGUGGAACGGGAAGCUCCUCACGAGCUAGGAGCCAAGCUAGUGCACCUCAGUUCGGUAGCACUCAGUUUGUAUCCAAAGCAGUGGAGGAUAGGUACAACUAGAAAGGAACUAAGAAAUUACGACAGAGGUGCACAUUGAUCGAACAUCGUUGGAGGUGGAAUGCCCCAAUAUGUUUAAUGAGCUGAGGCGAUGUCAGCUGGACAUCUUCUUCGAGGUACCAGAGGAGGCUAAUGUUCAGCUAGUACGAGAGUUUUAUGCGAAUAGGCCAGAACAUGAGAAUGGGGUUGUGACGGUUCGCAAUACCCCGUAAAUUCAUCCAUUGACACCAUCCGCAGGGUAUACAGGCUGCAAGUGUUCAGGGGUGUCGAUGAUCCUUAUCGUACUUUUAGCAGUACACGAGCCUUGUGGGGAACUCUUUUUGAUACUAUUUAUGUGCCCGAUGGAGAAUGCCUAUGGACCGCACCCAGAAUUACAGUUAACUCCCACUGUCUGAAUUGGGAGGCUAAGUGUUGGCUCACAAUUAUCAACAGUCGAUUGUUUCCAUCCAAUAACAUGACAGAUGCUAAUCUACCACUGGCAUCGGCAAUACACUGUUUCAUGACUCAUAGUGAUUUUGAUGUGGCCCGGCUCAUUCAUAAAGAGAUUUUCUUCAUAUCCCUUAAGAUAAUCAAGGGCCAUUACUUCCUCUUUGUUGAUCACCCUGAUGUGUCGUAUUGCUAGAGACCCUGAAGACCUUCGAGAUUUCCACUGAAAGCCCCGUUACGGGAGAAAAAAACUGGAAUUGGACGAGAGCCGAUGGUGAAUAUUGAUGACAAUGAUGAGGAUUCAACUGAUGAUGAUGAUGAUGAUUAUCAGAUAGCUGUAGUCCUCCUCCUUCGAGAGCUAAUGUGGUAGGCCAACCCAGCCACGCCGGAGGACCCAUAUGAUAGCUUUGGAAUAAGAAAUGGCUGGGUUACGUACCUCAAUCAAUGAUUUGGGUACCCGUGUUGAUGCAAUGGCUGAGAGGCAGGUGAAUUUGGAGAAGAAGUUCUUAGGCUGGUUGAGAGCUCUGGCACGUGCUUGCAACGUGAACCCAGACACAAUCGUCGAUCAGGAGUGAUUCUCAAGGAAGUUCCUUAACCUCACUGUUCUUUCAAAAUUUUAAGCCAUGGGGACAUGUCUUCAUUUUAAGUGUGGGGUGUGGAUACUUCACUAUAUGUUUGUAAUUGUAAUAAUUGAUUCUUUGAUUUUGUGUGUUUGUUUUGUUUUGAUUGUUUUGACGUUUGAGUGAUAGUUCAUUAGGAAUGUUAUAAUAGCAAGUGCGUUGUCCCAACGACGGAUCUCUUUUGGUGGAGUUAUCUAGGGACUAAGUCGAGGUAAAGAAAAGAGAAUAGGGAGACUCUUCCUGAUAACGGAUCCUUUAGACAACUGUCUUGAGGGAAGUUAGUCUAGAGAAAAAACAAAAAAGAUUUCUUUCUAAUUUUUAGGUAGUGGAAUAACUCCCCCUUGGUUAUUCUUUGGGCCACGGUUCUUUUCUAAGGGUUUAGCUUGAACCAGGUAUCGGUAGUUUUUUUUAUUUUUAGUUUUGAAAUUAGGACUAAUGGGCUAUGAGAUAAAUUCAAAGGAAAACCCUUAGCAUUGAAACACCUGAGCACAAUAGACACUAGAGUGUAAUGCCUAGUUUCAUUGGUUGAAUCUUGUUAGAGUGCCUUAAAAUUGUGCGUUUAUACCUAACUUGAACACUCGAAAGAGAAUGUCUUGACAAACUAAGUCGGAGUGAGUCACGUGCCAUGUGUAUGGGAGUUUUAUUGUUUUCCAUGUUUCAUACUUGAUGCCUAGAACUUGCCCUGUGCGUUUGCAAAGAAAAAUAGUAGUCUCUUUCAGUUUUAGGAGUUAUAUAAGCAUUUCUUUGUUGAGCCCUACAUAUAAAGUAAACCUACAUGAAUGCAAUAUAUCUUAGUUAACCUUGUUGAGCCUAUAAGCCUAUUUCUUUGGCAACCACAUUACGAACCUUACCUAAUUGUUUGAAUAGCUUGCUGUUUAAAGCCUUUUUCCUCCCAUUGGAAAUAUGCAAAAACAAUAGUGUGGUUGGGUGGUUUGGUUUUUAGGUGGAACCAUUGAGAUGGAGAAAAGGUGUGAAAUUUUGAAGCAUAAAAGAAAAAGCACCGCGAAAAAAAAUGGUUUAUAAAUAAUUAUAGUGGUUGAUAAGUGGUGGCUUGUACAAAUUGCACCUAAUGGAUUGGGAUGUUUUAAACAAAUGAGGUGGAAAUGUUUGGUUGGCACAACUAUGAUCUUUAAGUUUAAUGUAAUUGUAUUAGAAGUGCUUAGGUAGGUUAACUAUAUCUAAAUAUAUCCUACCCGUCCCUUAGCCUACAUUAUAACCAAGUAAAGUCCUAUUGAUCUUAGACUGAUUAGAAUCAAUUAGUAGAGUAUUACACUACAGGCAAGUCUAUGGUGCAUCUUUGUGGCAUGUGAAUGUUCUUUUUGAGAGUGAGUGAAAGAGUUUGAGUAAGUGCAAGUGUGGCAUGGUACAAAAGGUUUGAACCUAGAGGUAAAGGUUGGUCACUUCUAGGUGAAACUUUUGUAAGAUGUUCAUGGUGUUAGUCGUUAAGGAAAAAGCUUAGGAAAGGAAUUUUGAUGGAGUAUGGUGGAUUGCUCGACGACUAGCAAUAAUUUAUGUGUGUGAUGUUGAUAAUAGGCUAUAUAGGUUAUAUUUACACCUUAAUACGACCAUACUUUGUUGUUGUUUUAUACAUAAAUUGCCAACAAAAUGCUCUAAAUAGUGUCAUUUUGUUUCGCAUGAAAUAUUAUAUAAGAGGAAGCAACAUGUAGUGUGUUGGAGGCGAUAAUGUGAAGAAAAGGCCCACUUGAGAAGUACACGAGCACGAAGAAGCAGAAAUGGUCCUAGCAAGAAGGCCAUCACGACUGCGGUGGAUUAAUAAGGUAAGGCAAAAAUGAUCAGCUUUCACAGCGGUUGGUCGCGACCGCGGUGAACUGUUCAUGCGAAUGGAAGUUUUAGUACCAAAGCGUAAUUUUGGGAAAACUUUUGUUAAACCCUUAUAAGCUUUUGAAACUCGCCCAAUGUUGUACUAUGCUUGUUUUUAGACUACUUUCGGAGGCAAAGAAAAGUGUGAGAAGAUCAACCAGCAUUAGAGUUUUUCUAUCUCCUUUUAAUUCUUGGAAUUAUACAUGAUGAAUAAUCUAUUAGUUUUCUCUUAUUUAAUUAUAAGUAGCUAAACACUUAUCUAGGGUUGAUGGAAUCAAUUGUUCGUUGAAGUUUUGACAAAAGUUGUUAUAAUAUGAUAUGAUUGUUCAAUUACAUUUUGUAUGGUGAUUAAUUGGAUGGGCCCUUGAUUAAUCGUGUUUAAUUACCUUAUAUUGCUUGAGGAAGAGUAUUAGGUUAGACAGUUGUUGAUCAACACCACAUUUAGGUAAUUGAAGAGAUUCAUUAUUUGAAUUUAAAAGUGGGUUUAGAGAUAAUGAAACUUUGGCGGGAUAAUAUAGAGUUCCACACAUAUUGUUGGCUAGAGCGGUUCGAGAUAGUGCUCUAGUAAAUUAUUGUAGUUGAUCGAGAGAUAAUUAUGAUAACUACUAACUCUUAAUCCUCAUAGAGUAUUGCAACGGGAUUAUAGCGGAAGAGUCAAGACCUAAACUGGCAAUUGGGGAAAUCACUUCCCUAGAACUUUUUACCAUUGAAUUAUCCUUGUUUAAUCAUACAGUUGUUUUUAAUAGUAGUUGAAGUAGUUAAACAAAAACCCAAUCUUAUUUGAUAAAAAAUCAUGCAUCUAGAGAUUGAUUGAAUUGAUUACAUCAGCGCCGAAGAGUGCAACAAAUAUGUUAGUUCCAUGAGAAUAUGAUUCCGGACUUGAAACCGGAUUAUAGUUGCAGCGAUCACUUUACCCGUUAAAAGACAUAGUUAGGUGUUAUCAUGUGUCAACAAUGCAAGUCAUUUGGGCACACCGUUCAACAGUACAAGAGAGUGCAAAAAAAGCCACAAGUAGAACAAGUAAGGACUGAACGGUGUUAGAUCCAGUUUUAAUGAUGCAAAUAAUAUACAUGUGCAAGAAAUCAAUUAUAAGAAGUCAAGAAGAUACUACAAAACUGUUUGAGUCAAUCCUGAUGAACAAGGGAAGAAAUCAAUCAGAGACAACUAAGGAAAGGACUCGCAAAUCUGGAAGGAAUCAAAUUAGCCAAUCCAUUAGCAAAGAGUAACGACCAGCUGCAAUGGAGAGAAUCAAGCAAGCCUAUGUUAAGGAACAAAUCAAAGGCAACAUCCCGGAAGAUCGAAAGUUAUGAGAAGAUUGGUACAUGACUAAUUUUGGAAUAACAAACAAUCAAGGAGCAAGUCUUCGUUCGUACUUCUGCUGAUGGAAGGAAAUCAAUGAGAAGCAACGACUAGCUAUCUUAUUCUUGGAAAGAAUUAAUUUUUUUUUCAAGGAUCAAAUCCUUUGGGUUGUCAAGCCUUGACUAUUCAUCAAAGUAUUUAUACCCCGCCUUAUACCCUAGUCUCAUAUAAUUUGAUGAAUUCAAAAAUCACUCUCUUUAUUCUACUGCAAACAAACAUUGUAGUUCACUAAGAUCUACUGUGUAACAAGUCAGGGAAGAAAAGAGAGCAUAACACUGGUGAGGCAUUGUAUCAAAAAGAAACAAAUGCUAGAGAAACUGUGUGCAAAUUCACUAUAACAGUACACGGAGAAACACAUCUACUAAAAGAGAUCUCCUUUGCAACCCUAGGGUAGUAGACUAGGAUUCACAUUAAAUCCGAACUACUAUAAAAUCUCGGUACCUUUAAUUUCUGCAAUUUUAUUUCUGUCACUAUAACUGUUGAACUAUUAUAUCUAGUUGACUACUAAAUAAAUUAUUCAAAUAAUAAGCAAUUAAGUUCAAAUAUUUGCAAUUCACCCCUCAUAUUGUAAUUUCAAUUGCUAUCAGAGCAAGGCUCGCAUUUUACUUUUGCUUAAUAACUUGUGAGAAAAGAUCAUGGAAAAUUAUGUUAUCAUAAGAGCUCUCUUUCAGGAAGGAAUUUCACACGUUAGACCACCGUACUUCAAUGGACAACAUUUCUCUCACUGGAAAGUAUGAACGAAAAUCUCUACCGAAGCUUACAACAUGAAAGUUUGGAGAAUCAUCAAAAAGGGAAACUAUCCUUUACCUGCUAGCACUCUACCACUUGCUGAUCCUGAAGAUAUAGAUUCAUACUCAAACGAGCAAGUGGAAGUGGUAAAAGUGAACAGCAAAGCAAGAAACCUGCUUCAUCACGCUAUAAGUGGUGAAGAAUAUGAGAAAAUAUCAAGUUAUGACACAGCCAAAGAGAUGUGGGACACACUUGAGGUCACCUAUGAGGGAACCAGCAAGGUAAAGGAAACACAUAUCGACAUGCUGGUUCAUGAUUACAAACUUUUCUCAAUGAAAGAAGGAGAGUCCAUUGAAGAGAUGUUUGCCAGGUUUAGCAAAAUAAUUAGCAACCUAGAGGCGUUUGGCAAGCCCUACACCACCAACCAUUUGGCAGACCAAAGUAGUCAUACUGGAAUAUCAAGAUCUACAACAAUUAUCCUAUGAUGAACUACGAGGAGAACUCACUGCCUUUGAAAGGAUGCAUCUCAAGAAGACAGAUAGAGGAAAAAAAGAAAAUAGUUUCAUUCAAAACCUCUACUGAAAUAGCUGAUAACGAAAUUGACAAUGAUCCUGAAGCUCUGCAAGAAGUGAUUGCUAUGAUGUCUAGAAACAUAGAUUGAUAAGUGAGAAAAUACAGGAACACAAAAAAAGGAAGAAUUCUACCAAGACGAUCCGGGUAAUACAAUGAACAUGAUAAGAAUGAUGGAAAAUGCUAAGAAUGUGGAAGAUUUGGGCAUAUUCAAGCUAACUCUAUAGGAUUCAACAAGAACAAAUCUUUCGGAAGCUGGAGCGAUGAGGAUAACUCGAACCAUGAAGAGAUAGCAAAUCUCUGUUUUAUGAUAAUUAUGGAAAAUGAAAAGAACAAAUCUUCAGGAUGCUAGACAGACAAAGACGUUUCAGAUGAGGAAAAUGAAAACUAUCUCAUGGCACGGGGUGAAGCUAGUGAGAUAAGAUCUUAUGCCUGUGAAAGAUGUAAUGAAUUGUAGGACAUCCUUGAUUCAACUUUGAAAGAGACUCAAAAACUGAAGAAUGAGCUUAAGAUACUCACCAAGGAAGAUAAAGACUGUAAAAUCAAACUUCAAGUAUGCGAAAUCAAAAAGGAAGUACUCUAGGAAGAGUUUGAGGAAUUGCAAAUGUAACUCAAUAGCAUGCGCAAAUCCAUCAGCCACAGUUCUGUUAGGUCAAACCAGACGACUUACAAGUCAACUGGAAAGGAACUAAUCAGAAUCAAGUCGACCAGUAGGUCAAACUAGAUAACUUACAAGUCAACGGGGAAAAGACUAGCUAGAACCAAGUCGACUAAAAGCGGGUCAGAAGUUAAGUGUCAUUACUGUAGUAAAAAUAGGCAUAUUCCUUUUGUCGUUUACGUAAAUCAAAUGUGUCAGUAUGGGUUUGGAAACCAAAGCAUUCUGAACCUAGUAACACAAACCCCCUAGACCCAGACAAGCUUGGGUACCUAAAAGAAAGUAAUCAUCUUGUCAUGCAGGAAUACCACAGAAUAAGCCGUAAAGGAAAAUGGUAUCUAGAUAGUGUGUUUUCCUAUCAUAUGAAAGAUCACAAAAACAUGUUCAAAUAAGUUACAAAAAUUGAUGGAGCAAGUGUUAAAUUUGAGGAUGAUUCAAGGGGCAAAAUAGUUAGUACUAGGACAAUUUUCUUCAAUAACAAUUGUGACAUCACUGAAGUUUAUCUCGUCGAUGGCCUCAACUACAAUCUUUUGAGCAUAAGUCAACUUACGACUCGGGAUAUGAGGUCAAAUUUAAGAAAACAGGAUGUGUUGUUGAAGAUGAAUCAGGUAAGAUAAUUCUUCCUUGAAAAAGGUAUGGAAAUUUUUAUAUACUUGAUGGUUUUGAAAAGUUAGAUGGUAUAUUUGCUAAUCCUCUAAGUCUAAUGAUCCAUGGUUAUGGCAUUAGAAACUUGGUCAUGCUAGCAUGCAUUUGAUAGAAAAAUAGUCCAAACUUGAAUUAGUUAUUGGUCAGCCUAUUCUAGAACUCAUAUUUGUGAUGCAUGUCAAAUGGGUAAGCCUUUAAAAAUAAAGAUAUGGUUUCUAUUUCAAAAUCUUUGCAAUUACUUCAUAUGGAUUUAUUUGGGCCUACUAGAACUGCUAGCAUAGGAGGAAAAAGGCAUACCUUUGUUAUUGUUGAUGAUUAUUUCCGUUUGGGUAAUCUUCUUAACUCAUAAGGAUGGAACAUUAAAUUUUUUUAAAGUUUUCUGCAAAAGGGUUGAAAGAGAAAAGGGACAUCUGAUUCCAAUAAUUUAGAGUGACCAUGGAGGAGAAUUUAAAAGCAGAGCAUUUGAAGACUUUUGUAAUGAUAAAGGAUAUACCCAUAAUUUCUCUGCACCACCCUCACCACAACAAAAUAGGGUUGUUGAAAGGAAGAUCAGAACCCUCCAAGAUAUGGCAAGAACCAUGUUACAAUAACACUCACUGCCGAACCACUUCUGGGCAAAGGGUGUAAGUACAACAUGUCACAUCCUCAAUUGUUGCCUCAUAAGGCCAAUAAUGAAGAAGACUUCAUAUGAACUAUGAAAAGGUAAAUGACCAAUUAUUAGUUACUUCCAUCCCUUCUAAAGCAAAUGUUUUAUUCACAGUAACGACAAGGAUAAUCUUGGAAAGCUUGAUACAAGAAGUGACAACGGUAUUUUUCUAGGUUACUCAUUAAAUAGUAGGUCCUUUAAAGUCUAUAAUAAACAUACAUUACAUGUGGAAGAAUAUGUACAUGUUAUAUUCAAUGAAAAUAAUCCCUUGGCUGAGAAAGGAAUUAUUCCAGGUAACGAAGAGAAAGCUCAAGAAACUCGGGAGAAAGGAAAGUCACAAGAUUCGACUAAUACACCUACUGCGACUGAGUCAACUGGUGAAGAUAGCAGCAAUGUACCAGACCUACCAAUUGAUUCGACUACAAAUGUAGUUCGUCCAAAUGAAUGGAGAAGCGAUCCUGAAUAUCCACAGGAAUUCUUUAUAGGGGAUCCUAAAAAAGGAAUGAAAACCAGCGCAAAGCAAACAUCACAUUGAUUUCUCAGAUUAAGCCAAAAAAGAUAGAGGAAGCACUGAAAGAUUCAAGAUGGGUGCAAGCUAUGCAAGAAGAAUCAUAUUAGUUCAGUAAGAAUCAAGUGGGGAAAUUAAUACCCAAACAUGAUAAUGUGUCUGUAAUCUGAACAAAGUGGGUGUUUAGAAAUAAACUGAAUGAGGAUGGAAGGUCAUAAGAAAUAAAGCCAGACUAGUUGCUCAAGGGUAGUCACAACAGGAAGGAGUCAACUAUGAUGAAACUUUCGCCCUAGUAGGGUGGUUGGAGUCCAUACGAAUUCUUCUGGCAUACACAUUUUUUAAAAGAUUCAGGUUGUUUCAAAUGGAUGUUGAGUGUGUUUUUGAAGGGAUCUAUCAAAGAAUAAGUAUUUUUGAAACAACCUCUAGGUUUUGAAGAUUCAAAAUUCCCAUACCACGUAUACAAGCUCACUAAAGCACUGCAUGGGUUAAAACAAGCUCCAUGUGCCUGAUAUGAUAGACAACAUACCUUUCUUGUUGAUCAUGGAUUAACAAGAGGUAAAAUAGAUACUACCCUAUUAAUUAAACUAUCAUCAGAAGGUAACCUCAUUAUUUAAAUUUAUGUUGAUGAUAUCAUAUUUGGUAGUGCUAACCCUCUUAUGUGCGAGGAUUUUUCAAAUCAUACGCAAAGUGAAUUUGAAAUGAGUAUGAUGGGUGAGCUCUCAUUCUUUCCUGGGCUACAAAUUCAAAAAUUUGAAGAAUGAACCUUCAUAUGUCAAACCAAAUACACAAAAUAGAUGAUUCAAAAAUUUGGCAUGAGCAAUGCAAAAUCAAUCGGCACAAUGAGCCCCUAUACAAGUCUAGACAAAGAUGAACAUGGUACUCCUGUUGAUGAAACUAAAUAUCGUGGAAUAAUUGUAUCACUGAUGUAUUUGAUAACAAGUCAACCAGAAAUUAUGUUCAGUGUAUAUAAAUGUGCCAGGUUUUAGUCAGCUCCUAAGGAGUCACAUUUAACUGCUGCAAAACGAAUCACUCGAUAUCUCAUUGGAACUGUAUCUCAUGGAUCAUGGUAUCCUCACUCUAACUCUUUUAAAUUAGAAGGACUUUCAGAUGCUGACCUUGCAAGUGAUAAAGAUGAUAGAAAGAGAACAAGUGGUACAUGUCAAUUACUAGGAAAUGCAUUAAUAUCUUGGAACAAUAAAAAUCAAGCAUCAGUCGUAUUGUCCACUACUAAAGCUGAAUACAUUUCUAUUGGACAAUGCUGCGCACAACUACUGUGGAUGUCUCAUCAAUUGGGUGACUAUGAACUUUCAUUUAAGCUGAUACAAAUUCUUGUGACAAUUCUAGUGCUAUUUGUCUUUCAAAAAAUCUUGUGCAUCAUUCUAGAGUAAAGAAUAUAUAUAUUAAGCAUCAUUUUAUUAGAUCAUGUUCUUAAGGGAGACAUAGAAAUAUCUUUUGUUGCAACUUCUGAUCAACUAGCUGAUAUUUUUACUAAGCCAUUAUUAGAAGAGAGAUUUUGCGCUUUAUGAAAUUUACUUGGUAUUAUUUUCACUUCUAAUAACUCUUAGGGCCUAUGUACUCAGUCCAUUUUAUUUGCUAUAAUUUUCCUUUACCCACGCUUUGAUUACGCCUCCGUCUUUUCCCUCUCUUUUCUCUUCUUUCACAUUAGUUCACAGUUCAAAGUUGGAAAGAAAAUAAUCAUGUCUCUUCAACUGAAAACUUUUCCUUUCCUGUACUCAAACGUCAAAACCCCCUUUUUAAGAAAGAAAACCCAUUUCAAUCACUUUCAUCUCCAUCUUCUCUCCAAAAGUUCCGAUCAAGCUCAUUCUCUACAACGGUGAAACAAUCCAAAACUCCUUGUGCUUCCACCAGAAAGAGCACAUGUUCCAAAGAAAAACCCCUUUCUGCGCCCCUAGAACAAGUAGACCUAGGGUCGGAUCACUUUGAAGGUUUUUGCUUCAUCUUAGGGAGAUUUCUAUGAACACUCACAACUUCUAGGAGAAAAGGCUUUAGGCAAUCGACCAAUGGAAGAGCCUCCUAUUUUGUCCACCCCAAAUAAAUCAAAGGUUGAUUUCUCUACCUCUCUUGAAUCUGACCUAAAUUUCUGGGAUUCCCCAAAUAAGGAUCUUUUUGUUGCUCUAAAAGACAAGCCCAUUUCUCAUGGAAGGAUCACCGACCUUGAUGACAUGUAAGCCCUAAAUUGCAAGGUUAAAGACCUUUUUGUUCAUCAAGGAUGGGUUAGGUUCUUCUCUAUUCCUCCGCCUAAGAUAUAUGGACCUCUGAUAAAAAUGUUCUAUGCAAAUCUUCGUUCUAUUAAACCUGAUAGGUUGGAAUCUUUAGUGUUAGGUAAGCGCAUUUUCUUGAUUGUGCCCUGUUUGACUCAUUUUUUUAGUGUGUUUGUUCUAAUUUCCCUACUCCGUUUAAAAACACCUGGCCUGAUGACUUUGAAAUUCCUUUGACCAAGCCAAACAGUGUAUUGCUGAGUAUCCCUUUGAACACCUUCUAAACCAAUUAGGCCCCAGUGAUGUCAGUUUCGAAACUUGGGUUCUAGCCAACAUUGUGGCAAUUACUUUGCUUUCCCGUACUGGUUCCUUUUCAACCUUCUCUCAAAGAGACACAUUCUUUGUGUAUUGCCUCGUAACCAAACUCAAAAUCAAGCUUUCCUCCUGGUUAUCAAUUUCAUGAUUGAGAGUGCUGAAGAUCCCCCCACUCUACCCUAUGGCAUGGCAAUCACUCACAUUCUGGAAGCUCUUCAAAUUUUCCUGUCAAAUUAUCCCUUUCACCACUGUCUCUAAGUCCUACAAUUCUAGAGCCUUUGAUAGUAAGUGUUAUGUGAAUGUCAAGGGCUCCUAGGUUAAGAAGCCCGAAAGUGAAGCAAAAUAUCCCCCCAUAGAACCUAAACCUUCACCUUCAGUUCCUCAUCAUAAUCUUGAUAGUCCUGAGCUUGACAAAAGGCUUCGUGCUAUUGAAUCUCAACUCUCUAAAAUUAAGAACCUUCUCAUAGCCACUCAGUCUACUGUUGGUGACAUUCAUGCUAUUUCUAAGGAAAUAUGGUCUGACGUGUCCAAGAUUAGAGUUUCCAUUCUCAGAGUUAGGGAGAAUCUUGUCAAAGCUUUCAUGGAGAUUCAUGACAGGAUGGAUGGAGUGAGCAUCUCAGCGAUGCGAGCUUCGAACAGUUCAAGGACGCUAUCUGCAACACCCUUAUUUUUUGCGCCGCUAGUGUGGUUGUUUUAGGAAAUUUUUUUGUUCUCUUGAUUUUUGUUGUGAUGCUUUUAUGGUCUGUCUUCCUAGUCGUUGGAUAACUUUACCUCAUACGCUUUAAUUCUCUUCAUUAUGUUUAGUUCUCGUCUUAUUCCCUCUUUGCUGAUGACAAAAAAGGGGGAGAAAGAAUAUGUAUAUUUGUAAAGGUACAGUCUAUAUUUGUAUAGGUACAGUCUUGAGGUAGAAGUUGACUUGGUCAUAGACUAGUUGACUACAUACAUUGAGGGGGGUGUCAUGGACUAGUCAACUGCAUACAUUGAGGGAGAGUAAAACACAAAGAAGUCAACUGGCGUUUACGUUUACAUAUUAUUGUGCCAUCAUCAAAAAGGGGAAGAUUGUUAGAUCCAGUUUUAGUGAUGCAAAUAAUAUACAUAUGCAUGAAAAAAAUUACAAGAAGUCAAGAAGAUAUUACGAAACUGCUGGAGUCAAUCUUGAUGGAUAAGGGAAGAAAUUAAUCAGAUACCACUAAGGAAAGGAUUCACAAAUCUGGAAGGAAUCCAAUUAGCCAAUCAAUCAGCAAAGAGUAACGACUAGCUGCGAUGGAGAGAAUCAACCAAGACUAGUGUUAAACCAUAAAUCAAGGGUAGCAUCCUCGAAUAUCGAUAGUUAUGAGAAUAUUGAUACGUGACUAAUUUUGGAAGAACCAACAACCAAGGAGAAAGUCUUCAUUCAUACUUCUGUUGAAGGAAGGAAAUCAAUGAGAAGCAAUGGCUAGCUAUCUUAUUCUUGGAAAGAAUCAAUUUCUUUUCAAGGAUCAAAUCUCUUGGGUUGUCAAGCCUCGACUAUUCGUCAAAGUAUUUAUACCCCGCCUUAAACCAUAGUCUCAUAUACUUUGAUCGAACCAAAAAUCACUCUCCUUAUUCUACUGCAAACAAAUAUUGUAGCUCAAUGAGAUCUUUUAUGUAACAAGUAUGGGAAGAAAAGAGAGCAUAAUACAUGUGAGGCAUUAUAUAAAAAAGAAACGAGUGCUAGAGAAAUUGUGUGCAGAUGCACUACAGCUGUACUCGGAGAAACAUGUUUUACUAAAAUAGAACUCCUUUGUAACUCGAGGGGACUGGACUAGGAUUUACAUUGAAUCUGAACCAGUAUAAAGUUUUGGUGUCUUUAGUUCCAACAUUUACUUUUUGCAAUUUACUUUUUGUCACUAUAACUGUUAAAAUACUAUAUCUAGUCGACUACUAAAUAAAUUAGUCAACUAAUAAGCGAUUAAGGCUAAAUAUUUACAAUUCACCAACCCACAUCCCCUGUACUUUCAAACGGAAGCUAGUGGAAAUGAAUGAGCAGAAAGAAAAGUCAGUCAUAGCAGGGGAAAAAAUAGAACAACAAACAAAGAGUGUGCAAGGGAAAGCUCUACAGAAGCAGAUUAACAUGGUAGUGAGUAAUUCCUUCUCAACAUUGGAGGAUCAUGUAGAGCAGAAGACUGCAUGGAAGAAUUCUAGUAAUCAAAUGUUAAUAUGAAAGAAGAUCAAAAAUAAAGGAAUAACACAAGGAGAAGGUACUCAACAAGGAAAGGACAACUCAAUAACCAGCUCUCAAAGGGCAGUGCAAGGGAAAAUAGAGAUAGGUACAGGAACGGGGAGGGGAGGUACAAACUCCCUCCCAAAUGGAUAAAUUGGGAUUUUUGAACGUGAGGGGUCUAAACAGGCAGGAUAAACAGAAAGAGAUGAAUCUGUUCUUGAAUAAUUCUAAAUUAGGCAUGUUUGGACUCCUGGAAAAUAUUAAGAGGCAAACAUCUUUAGAUUCUCUUAAUCUUUGUAAUGGGUAGUAUUUUAGUCACAAUUUAGCUUAUCAUUCAGGUGGGAGAAUCUGAUUGCUUUGGAAACCAAAUAUCAUUAAUGUAAAUAUCAGUGAUGUAUCAACUCAAAUGAUGCAUUAUUAGGUAGAACAUUGAGGGACUCAUCACAAGUGUUAGAUAACAUUUGUACAUGGAUUUAAUGACCAUGCUUUAAGAGGAUAAUUAUGGCAAGAACUGGAGCAAAUUUGUGGUGUCACUAAUCAACGAUGGGCAGUUAUGGGUGACUUCAACUGUGUAUUGAAUAGAGAUGGAAGGGUGGGGAGUCGAAUCAUAGUAUCAGAAAUUGAAGACUUUAAAGAGUGUGUAAGAAGAUGUUCACUAUAAGAGCUUAAAUCAUCUGGAUCCUUUUUACUUGGAAUAACAAUCAUGGAGACACUAGUAGAGUCCAUAGUAGAAUUUAUAGAGUGCUAGUUAAUGGAGAUUAGGUGAUGAAAUUGCGAGGACAAAAAGUUCACCUUGGAAAUAAAGGUCUUAUGGACCAUUGUCUAGCUCUGAUCAAUUGGGAUAAGGGGCCUCAAAAUAGCUAGCAUAGAUUCACAUAUUUCAACAUAUGGAGUCAAGCUACUAAUUUCUAUCAACAAGUGGGAAGUAACUAAAAAAUGGGAUUACAGGUACAAAGCAGUACAUAUUAGUAAGGAAGCUAAAUAGACUCAAAGCUACUCUGCAAGGAAUAAAUAGAGCUCAAUUUGGUGAUAUAGAAGGUAAAGCUGUGCAAAAAAAAAUAGAAAUGGAAGAGUGUUAAAGUAACUAUAGAAAGACCCUUUAAACAUAAAGUUAAUUGAAGAAGAGGCAAAAAUAGCUAAACACUUCUCACACUGGAGCCUGACAAGGAACCAAUACCUUAAGCAAAAAUGUAAAGUUCAUUGGUCGAAUGCAGCGGAUAUGAAUACUAAAUUCUUUCAUAGUAUGUUGAAAAUUAGAAGAAAUGCUAACAGAAUGUUCACUAUAAAAGACAUUAUAUUACAACAACUUUUGUGAAAUAUUACUCUAUAUUGAUUGGUACUAAAACUAAGAAUAGAAGAAGGGUAUGUACCUCCACUAUUAAAUCAUGCACUGUAGUUUUACAGGAACAAAGAGGCAUGUUGAUUGACUAGUUUACAAAGCAGAAAUUAAACAGUUUUUUGUGGGAAAUAACAGGAGAUAAAGCACCGGGGCCAGAUGGUUAUGGAAGUCAAAUUUUUAAGGACUAUUGGGAACUAAGGAGGAUCUUGAAGCAAGAGUGAUGGAGUUCUUCAAGUCAGGAAAAUUAUUAAGGGCAUGGAAUAGUACAAUGUUUACUUUAGUCCAAAAUCUGAUCAUGCAGACACAGUAACAAACUAUAGACAUAUAGCUUGUUGCAAUACUAUCUAUAAGGUGACAUUCAAGAUGUUAACAAAUAGAUUGAAUAAAUUCCUAUCAGAUAUCAUAUCCCCAAAUCAAAGUGCUUUUAUGGUAGGUAGAACUAUUGUUCAUAAUAUCUUAAUCUAUCAGGACCAGGUAAGACUGUAUAACAGGAAACAAAAUACCAGUAGCUGCCUGAUUAAAAUAGACUUGAGGAAAGCCUAUGACACAGUCUAAUGGUAGUUUGUAGCUGAGAUGAUGCAUGCACUGGAAUUUCCUUAAAAAUUCAUCAAAUGAACUAUGACAUGCAUAACCAUAGUGCAGUAUGCAAUUCCAACUAAUGAGAGUCUAUACGGGAACGUAAAAAAGGAAAGAGGUUUAGUCAAUGGAUCCAAUAUCCCUACUGAUCUUUGUCAUAUUCAUGAAAUAUUCCACGAGGAUAAUGAAUGUAGUUGUAGAGCGGGUGGGAUUUGCGUAUCAUACUAAGUGUAAAAGCUUGAAAAUGAAUUAUAUAUGCUUUGUAGAUGAUGUUCUAUUAUUCAAUAAAGAGACUUUUCAAUCAGUUCUGUUGUUAUUGAGGGGCUUGAAAACAUUCUUAGAAAGCUCAAGCCUAACUACAAAUGCAAGCAAGUCAAAAAUAUUCAGUGUCAGUAUGCCAAUCUAGAGCCAUAAGGACUUGAUGGAAAUGACAGAACACCAGAAAGGAAGUCUACCAUUCAGGUAUCUUGGUGUGCCUGUAUCAGCUAAUAGGAUAUCUAAAAUUGACUGUGAAAUACCCAUAGACAAGAUAGCAGCUCGAAUCAAAAAUUGAGGUACAAGACAUCUAUCUUAUGCAAGAAUAGUGCAGCAAGUGAAUUCAUUAUUACUUCACAUUCAUAUUUACUGGUCAACUAUAGUUUUUCAUCCAAAGAAAGUUCUGAAAGGGAUAACUGCUAUGUGUAAAAAUUUCAUAUGGGAUGAGAAAUAUGUCACACAUAAGCUACCGUUAGUGUCAUGAGACUUAGUGUGUAGGAUGAAGCAUGAAGGAGUCUUGGUGGGUAACAAACAUAAUAAAAUAGAAUGAAGCUGCUAUUGCAAAUUAUGUAUGGAAUGUAGCUCAAAAAGCUAACAAUCUAUGGGUGAAAUGGAUUAACAAGGUCUAUUUAAAGGAGAAGGAUUGGUGGCAGUGCAAAAGCCCCAAUGGUUCUUGCUGGUACUGGAAGACAAUAUGCAGGAUAAAAAGAAAUACUUGCCCCUGGAUAUAAUAAAUAUUUAAGGAGCAAUGCCAAUGGACAGUACAUAAUUAAGGAGGUAUAUACAUGGAGAAUUAGAGAUAAAGAAAACUAGGCAUGAAGAAGAUGGGUAUGGAACAACAUGAACCUACUCAAACAUGCUUUUAUUUUCUAGUUCACUAUACAUCAAAGGCUACAAAAAUCAGAUUGUAUCAUAUGUGCAUUAGUCAAGAAAAUAGGUGUCCAAUAUGUGAAACAGAAGAGAAGACUAUCCAACAUUUGUUCUAUAUGUAUGUAUUCUCACAGUAGUGCUUAAGGGAGGUGUUAAACUGGAUGAGCAUAUGUGACAAAGAUAAUAGUGAUAUGGAAAAGAGUGACCAGACUACUCAAAAGAAAGAGAUGCAGGGAAGUUGCUACUGCUAUAUUAGAUGCCUUGGUGUACUGGAUAUGGAAGACUAGGAACAUUGAUGUAUGAGACUUCAAACUAUCCACAACUAAAUAUAUACUAAGUCUAAUUAAACAAGAAUGCUGACUGAGAAAGCUCACCUAUUUGAAGAGCGAGACAAAUAUUCAAGAAAGAGAAUGGAUUGAGAAGAUAAUGCAGUAAUAGAAUAUUAAAUCGAUAGAAAAACUAAUGUUUUGAUGAAUAAUAGCUAAUGUAUAUAUAUACAAAAAGAAAUAUGUGAAAAGAGGAAAGUAUUGAGGAAAAAGCAUGUAAUAGUUUCAAGGUGAUGAAAUAAAUUUUUUCUUCACCAAAAAAAAAAAAAAAUUAAGCCUAGAGAACAAGAUUAAGGAAUUACGUAUUGCUUUUUGUUUACUCUAAAAACAGAUAACAAUUAAAUUUGUAUGUGAUUUGCGUAUUAAUUCGAUACCAAAUAGUAAAUUACAUUAAAUUAAAUAGAUAAAGGUAUAGUAAAUUAUCAAACCACUUGAGAAUGAUGUUUCUGGUCAUAAUGAAAUGUCCACUUUCUUUCUGGACUCACAAUGGCCAACACUGAUGAAUCAAAAUAAGAAUUACAGUAUAUUUCCUUAGUAUGCGUGUGUUACAAUGUGUUCCAUGAAUAAGCAUUCUCCCCUUUAUAUAGUAGGAAAGUUUCACCAUAAGCACAAUUCUAUAAAAGGUAAAAAAAUCUUCUGUUUAACUAAUUGCCGGUUCUUCAUCGAUACGUGCCGAGAUGCACGCCGUGAUAUCCAACCGUCACGGAUAUCACGGCCUUCCACUGGUCGUGCUUGGUUGACCGACAACGUUUUCCGAAUUAUUUUGAGAUUUGGACCGAUCCCGGAUCAUGACUCCGGUAUUCUUGAGGGUGGGCAUCAUGCCACCGGACUGUAACUCGAUGAGACCCUUGCCUCCUUUUCGGUUCCUUGUCAUUAUGUCUCUAGCUUGAUUUAUCUUAUUGGAAGUCAGACUGUACCAUAAGCUCGGUUUUACCUGUAUACAUUUUUAGUGAAUGUCUAACCCUUUCUGUAAAAUGUUGCACGGUGUCCACAAUGUUAGGGCUAAGUAAGUUGAAAUAGUUUUAUGAGGGAGUCUACUUGCCAUUUCUUUGACUAAGAAUUUAACAUCGUCAUAGUAUAGUGAACUUGUGUGACCGAUCACUUUCAAUAAUAUAAUGGAUGAUGUGAAUCAGAAACGGAUUCAAUUCGAUCACAGCCUAAUAGGUAAAAGUCUCAGGUAAUUCAAAGAGUAUUCUUAAUGACUGUUUGAUUUUUCUUCCAGCUUUUGAAAUCCUUAGGGCGUACACGUCUUAAUCUUGUGAAGACAGAGAUUAUUUUCAAUAAAAGCUUAGAAAAAACAUAGUCACAACAUAAAUGAAAAGAAAUACUUUUCCCGAUUCACAUAGGUAAUCAAUUUAUCUUUUUAUUUUGGUCAAAAAUAAAUAUUUAUUUAUAUAAUUAAAAAAGUAUUCAAUUUGUUUUUACAAAAUUACUUUAUUUAUAUAUCCCUUAAAAAAAUUUACUCUUCAAAUUAAAUAUUUAAUUAAGGAUAGUUUAGUCAUACUAGGUAUUUCUCUAUAUAAUUUAAUAUUUUUUUAGUAGACGUGUCAAAACUAAAUUAGUCACUUAUUAUGGAUCGGAUGAAGUACAAUAGCAACGGAAAAGUCAUGGACAGAUUUCUUUCUUCAAUUUCUUAUGAUAAAAUUUAGAAUUUUUUACAUUCCUAUACCAUAUAGGAAACCUUAUUAUCCUCAAUGUUUAAGGUUUGAUAUAAUUACAUUUUGUAUACCAAAUUACAAAUUCUAUACCAUAGUAUAUUUUAAGAGUACAAUUAAUGCAGCGUAUAUCCCUCCUUAAUUCAAGGUACCGUAUAUCCCACCCCUCCCAUGUUUCUCUCUCCCUCACCCUCACCCACGUUUAUGUACUGUUGUCACACAUAGAAACCGAUGAUUAUAGAAACAUAGAUUUAUAACAUUAGGUUUAUACAGUCAUUAGUUCAGCUCCAAGUCCAACACUUUGUUUUUCACAGGUCGUUAAAGUCAUCUUCGCAAAGACCAGUCUGGUUACCAUCCUGGGCUAGAAAUCUUUAGAUCUAAUAAUCUAAUACUAUCACAAACAUAAAAAUUCAGAAGUAACAAAAUAAUCUCCAUUAGACAACAGAUUCUACAUGUAUAAGUGGGAAAGAGGGAAGGAAAAUGCAUUUAUGGAAUAAUGGUAAAUAAUAGAGACAGUCUAAAAAACCUCAAAGAACCAUUUACGAAUUUGGAUUAUACUUGAUAUAUAUAUUAGGAUAUUAAAAUAUGAGAAAAGAUUCAAUCAAAUAUGAAGUCUACCAAGUUUGAUUACUCCUCAACAGCUAAUAAUUCUAUUCAAUUGUAGCUUAAUUGGUAUUUUCGACUUAAUUGUGUUUGCAGAAGAUUUUGUAGAAGUUUUAGUCGUUUUGGAUUUGUGAAUACAGAAAACAAUGCAUCUACAAUAAGAAUACAACUAAUCUACAAUUCAUCCAUAAAAUAUCUACAAAUUGGGUAUAUUAAAUUUUAAUAUCCCAAUUCCCAUACCAUUGUAGUUUAAUUCGGAUUUUCGACAUAAUUGCAAUUUUUGUACAAGAUUUGAAGAAUUUUUAGUCGUUUUUGAUUUGUGAAAACAGAAAAUAAAGCAUAUCUAUAACAAAAUAUCUACAGCUGGUUACAUUAAAUUUUUAUAUCUCAAUUCCAUUCAAUUGUAGCAUAAUUGAGAUUUUUGACAUAAUUGUAUUUUUUCAGAAGAUUUGUAGAUGGUUUAGCCGUUUUUUAUUUGUGAAAACAGAAAUAAAGCAUCUACAAUCAGAAUAUAAAUAAUUUAUAAUUUAUCUACAAUUUCUACAAUUAUGUCUUCUUCUUCUUCUUCUUCUUCUUCUUCUUCUUCUUCUUCUUCUUCUUCUUCUUCUUCGACGAGUUUCAAUAAGAAUUUCAGUCAAAACCAAGUUUAAUCUUCACCAAAACUCCUAAAAUUGAGAUAUAAACUCCAAAUCAUAUUUCCAAUUAUUUUCAACACCCCCCAAUCCAACCAAAUAAUGAUUUUUGAAAAUUCAUAUUUGAAUGCAAAGCUUUCAAACUUUUUAAUGGCUGUCAACGGCAGAAUUGUCGCUCUCUUUUCAUUUGCUUUGUAUUACUGAAAUCUGCAAUUGCGAAAUAGAGAGAGAUGUAGAGAGAAUGUCGACGAACUGAGCUUUUGCAGAACUAAUGUCUACAAUUUGAUUCGAAUUUGUUGACGAUUUUAUCUUUUUUUGAUUUGUGGCUUAAGGAAAAAUAUCGAAGAACAAAAUUUUUGUAGAAAAGAGUCUAUAUAACUUGAUUUUAAAUUGAAGAUACAGGGUUUGCGUUUCAAAUUUAAUCUGAACGUCGCUAAAUGAAUUAGAAUAUUCUGUUCCUGAUUUAUAGUGCGACUAAUUAGGAAGAUCCAACUAUUAAUAAUUAGUAUUUAAUUUAUGGUGUAAUAAUUUUAGAAAUACAAUACAUAUAAAAAAUAAGUUAUAAAUUAUACACAUAUUUAAUAAUAAAAUUUUAUAUAUAAUAUAAAAAGAAAAAAAUCUCUAAAAUUAAAGCUUUAAAUAGAGAGAGAGGAAUAUUGGGGCAUCAAGUCUUUCCCCCUCGUCGUUUCAAUCGAAAUCUUUUUACCUGGUAGGAUCUUCACUUUUACGAAGCUUCCUCCAAUAUUUUAAAUUGUACUUCCUCCGUUCUCUUUUAAUUAUUUAUUUUUGAUUUUUCAUUUCUCUUUAAAAAGUAAAUCAAAUAUAUAUUUUGUAGUUUUAUCCAUAAUGAUAAUAUCAUUUAAAAAAAAAUAAUAAUAAUUUGGAGAAUAGUAAUUAAUAAUAACGGUAAAAAAUAAACAAAAAGAGUACAAGUAAAAAUAGUAUAGUGGGGUAGUAAAAAUGAAUGAAGGGAAUAUCAAAUUAUUUUCCCACCUUUCAUGUUUACUUAUCCACUAUACUAAAUUAAGAUAUCCACUUUUACUUGUCCAGUUUAGAAAACCAACGAUUAGGUUACCAUUUUAUACCUAUUUUCUCUUUGUUAUUAAAUACUCUCUUUCUUCUUUUUUAUUCGUUAAAUAUUCUAAAAAAAUAAAUUUUUAUUUUUACUUAUCACUUUUCGCAUAUUAAAAGCAAAAAAUUAUUUUUCAUGUUUUACCCUUAGCAUUAAUAACUCAUUCCAAAUCCAUUAAAACGGUACACCAAUAAAUAUGAGUAUCAUGGUCGAUUAUACAUUACAUUAAUUAUUUCUUAACAAGUGUGCAAGUUCAUAGCGGACAAGUAAAAGUGAACAGAGAGAGUAGUACUUAGUAUUUUCAUUUUAUAUUUCCACAUUUAAUAAAUAUGGGUGAUACAAUAAAUUUUUUAUGUUAUUUAUUGUUCUUUAAGAAACGCGUCAAGUCAAUAGUGGACAACUAAAUUUAAGCGAAGGAUUAAUUAUAUGCUGCAAAAGCCACAGCAACUUCAUUUAAUUUUGUGUCCGUGCUAUUUUUCAUACGCAAUUAAUUUUAGCCUAAAAACUGUAAAGUAUAACCUACAAUCCAUAGAGAUCAUAUUAGGAAUUAAGCAAAUAAUUAAACACAUAACAGUUGUAAAAAGAGGAAAACUUUCCUGUUUCAGAUUUUGCUGAUUUACAACAUAGUGGCAUUGUCAAAUUCUAGUAUUAACUCUUUAAGGUUUGAAAUGGAAGCUCAUCAAUUUAUUUAUUGUAUACGAUAACUAUGGUAUUUAACUACAUUAUCAAUUCAGAAGGUUAAGAAGUUGACAUUGUGGUCGGGACUUAUGUUAACAUUUGAGUCAAUGGUUAGACAUGUCAAUAUCAGUUUUUUUGAAGAAAGAAUUGGAAACAUUAUAGUUUCUCCGAUAAAGUCAAUCAAAUCAAGGACCUAAGUAUGUAUUCUUGAGAUCUUUCUUUUAGAUUGGAAGAAAGAAUUGGAAACAUUAUCGUUAUAUCAGAUAAAGUCAAAGCAAAUCUUUUAACCUUUCAUAGUUGGAUACAUUAGUUUAGAGAGAGAGCAUUGAGACAAAUAGCUAGGAUAUACUGGUACCAAAACCUGGUACAUAUGUAUUAAGUUGUAGAAAUUUGAUAAUAAUGAAAAAUUUUGUUGUGCAAAGUUCAACAUAUGCAGUUCUAGUUUUAAAUUAUCAAGAAAAUAGGAUAUUCAACCUGUUGGAAUUUUUUGUGGAGAUAGACAAGUCCAACUUAUUGAAUAUUGUGUAAAGAAAUUGGAGUGCUUUAUACUUUUGGGCUAGAAAAUUUAGGGGGAGAUGGAGAUUUCUUAGUUUGGUAGCUUGACUUACAGUUACUGAAUCUAAAAUCUAACUGUUCUUUUCCUUGAAAGAAAAUAUAAAAUCUAGUAGGAAAGGGCUACGCACUUGUAUAAAUUAAGACUCAAUUCUUUUUUACGAAUUAGCAAAGCCUGUCAAAGUUGAUGAAACUGUAAUAUAUAACAACAACACAACAAUCCAGUAUAAUUCCACUUAGUAGGCUAUUGGGAGGGUAGUGUCUACACAGACUUUACCACCCUUGGAUAGAGAGGCUGUUUCCAAAUAGACCCCCGACAUCUUUCCCUCCAAGAACUUCCCACCUUGCUCUUGGAGAGUCUCGAACUCACAACAUCUCGAUUGAAAGUAGGGGUUGCCUACCAUCAGAGCAAACCCUCUUGUCUUGAAACUGUAAUACACAUAUUGUGAAAUUAGUCUACUGGGAUAUUUUUGAAACUAUUGGUUCGCAUUCUAUUUCUUUUUUCUUCCUUCACUUCAAUUGAUCUAAAGUGAUUCUCAGAAUAUGGCUUAACGCUAAACCGACUCCACUGUUCUGGAUUUCCGUUUAUCAUAAUUAUUACGAAAAUACAGUUUAGAAAAUCUAACUUAGGGAAAAUGUAAUUUGGUACUAAAUGCAAAACAUGUUGUAGAUGGUUAAUGGUUUGACUUGUUUAAUUGAUUCUGACCACACACCACCGCUAGCGGCUAGUGCAAGUCAACCCCGUCCAAGCCCACAACCUUUGAAAAAACGAUGUUUACAUUAAUUUAAUAAAUUGGUCCAUAUAUUGUACAGUAAUAGAGCCAGGAUUUUAUUUGGAGCAUACGGUCUAAAACAAUUUUUAAUAUCCUUUGUCACUUUAUUAGAAUUUUUGUUUGUGCCAAGGGAAUUCAACACUUUAUAAUACACGGCAAUAACGGUAUUUGUGAAAAAGCCACUUUUUUGAAUUGUCAAGAUGCUGAAAGAAUUUAUUGAAGUACAUUUUCUUCCUUCACAGGCUGCUUGAAGCAAAGUAAAAAGAUCGAGCUUUUCCUCAAAAUGACAGAAGAAAAAGAAACCAUAAAAGGAUGCAUGGUCAUUGAACUCUAAAGGAAGCUUCCCUUACACGCUACAAUUGACAAUUAAAGUAAAGUCUGAUAAUGUCACGCGUAGUUGAAGUUCGGAACUAAAAUUUGAUUCUUUUAGAUUCAAAUACAAAAUAAAUAGAAAAAAAAAUGAAGUGACAAAAUUAUGUCACACUUCCUUUUUAUACGGUUACCCCGAAAGAUAAACGUAUAAGGGAAUUUUUUUAACUUAAGUGACAUUAUUCGAAAUGAGAUUAUUUAUUUAUUUAGAAUCGCCACUUGGGAUAAGCUUGGCUUUGGUGUCCCAAGUUACCGGUUUGUUUUGAAUCCCAAAUCGAGGAAAUUUUUAACUUCCCAAAUGGAGUCUGCGAACUAGAAAUUCUAAGUAAGGAAUUCUAUUGAUCCAAGGGAAGGUAUUAGGCACCCUCGGAUCUCGUGGUUCUAGCACAGUCGCUUAAACUAUUAUAAUCGGCUAAAAAUCUGAUUUUAAUACAUGUUCAUCCUAUAGUGCAAUUUUAAAUUGUUUAACGCUUUUAAUUGAAUUUUUAGGAAUGUGAAUGUCAUUUAAAACAUGUCUUUGGAUCGCGUAACAUGAAAUGCACCCGGAUCUGAAACACAUUUUAUCUGACGUUUUAGGAUUUGGAUUUGGGUCACAUGAAAUGCACAACUGUAUUUAGGAAGGUAAAAUUAUUAAAAGACGUGCCUAAAACGACUAACGUAUUAUUAUCUUUGCGAGAAAUCGAAAAGUUCGCUAAACGACAUGUCCCGAAUUUCUAAGUAUUUUAAUAUAAGCAUUUAAAGAGGGCCACACAAUUUAUGGGUUUUAUUUGACGCGGCGCACCUCUUUUUUUUUUAAAAGUCAACCUAGGGCAAACUAUUGUUUUCUAUUUGAUUUGUCUCUAAUAGCCUACUUAAUUAAUAUUGUAAAAUUCCGGCAUCAAGGUCAAGUCCAUGUUAAAACAAAAGGGAAAAACCUCUUAAUUUGAGCCCGCUACCUAACUCGAAAGCCCAAACUUAUGCUCUAAAUUUAUUUAUAACCAACAUUUCCAAAACUCUAACGAGUAGAUUAAACCUUCAGCAAACUCAAUACGAAAUACAUCAAUUACUCUAGGCUUUAAGCCCAUCUAUGGGCCAGCCUCCACCCUAAGGGAAUUAAACAAUCUGAAGUGGGAUAUGGGACAUUCUGGGCAGUACGUGCGUGGGCCAAAUUAGGCCCAAAUUAUGGCCUGGACAGUCCAUAUAUUUUUUUGAAUCUAAGUUGAAUUUUAUAUUGAUGUGCUAGCUGGUUGUAGAACGCGUAAUGCUGCAAUUCAUGAACUCAAACUCUAAUUUACACAGUACACAAAUUGAAAUUGAAGAUUAUUGAGAUAAUUUCACUUGCUGACAACUACUCAACCUAAAAUACACUACUAAAACAACAAAUAAAGUGGACUAGAAAUACACAGCUAAUCACUCGAUCAAAGAAAUCAUGAGGCUACAUAUGUACUACACUGUAAUUCAGCUCGAUGUUCCUUUAAGUUCCAACUAGUCAAAAAUACUUAUAACUGAAAAUAAACUAUUACAUUAAGGAAAAACAAUCCAGUUAUACAAAUUGUUAGAAUUCCUAAUCCCCCACAUUUCAAAUGCUACUACUACUACAUAAUCUAACAUGAAAUUCAUGUGUACAUAAUCAGGCUAAGCAUGAAAUUGACGUGAUCAAUUUUUCACAUGAACAAUAUAUAUAGAUACACAGGAGUUUAAACAAUUUGAACACUCAUGUCAAUAUUUCAUUUCAAAUCAAAGCUUCCACUACAAAUUUCCUUAGCCUUGGGCCAAUGGGGAUUUGGUAAGUACCUGGAAACGAAGCAAAGUAUAAGGAAACAUGAGUCAGUAGUGAGAAAUAGUAAUUAGCAGUUAAAAUCCAGUAGUAACACCACAAUCAGAUCAAUUAGAAGCCAAAAUGUGUAUCAUUGCAACCCAGGAGUGAAUAGCAACCAAUGAAAUAACCCAAAAUGGCCUCGAUUGAACUCAAACACACUAGAAAUUAACCCAGGAAACUCCAGAAACUUCAGCAAUCAGACCUUAGGCUAAAUGAUGCAAAUCAAACACUAUAAUUUGAAAUUGACUUGAGCUUCAAUAGAACAAUGAUUUUUUAUAGCUUUCUGUUUGUUUUUGAGGAUCUAAAUGAUCUAAUUUUAAGGGAAAACUUUCAUAUGUUCGUACUAACAAUAUUUUUUCUUUUGGUUUGAAUUUUUGAAUUGCAUAGAUAUGAAUUAGGAGUGUUUUUUGAGAAAAUUUUCUGAGCUGGAAUUUUGGGAAUUUCUUCAAGGUUUAAAUUUUUUUUCAAUAAGGCAAUGGUAUGCCUUUUUAUAGGCAAGGCUUAGGGUAGCCUUCCUAUUUUUGUUUUACCUAUUAUUUCCUCAUUUAUUUUUCACUUUUUCUCAAUUAGUCCUUUUAUUUAUGCCUUGUUGCUAAAGUUACUGCACUAGGUUUCAGAAUUAUAACUUCAAACCUCUUCUAGAAGAGUCUAGGGUGUUCUAGCUUCAAUCACCAAUAGGUUUCUUGAGUAAGAUACCUAUAUUAACCAUAUAUGCAAACUAAAUUUACUAUUUUAUACUAACUAAACCAAAUCCUCUUAAACUUGAUCAAAAGACCGUCAAUUAACCACCAAUACUAGAAAUUUCAGCUAUAUCCAAACAAGCUAAUAGAGAUCCUAAAAAUUAAGCUAAUCAACCUAAAUAAUCCAAGCUAGACCUUAAUCUCAAUGACACACUAAUAUCCUAAAAAUAGUGGGAUGAUAAACAAAAUGUCAAACCAAAAUUAACUAAACUACUGAACUAAUAAGAACUCAAUAGAAAUUAAAACAGAACAAGCAAUUUCUAAGGGACUGGGGAACAUAAAAAACAAACCAAAUUCGAAAAAUAAUACAAAACAAAAGCGAUUCAAUUCAAUUAACAAAGCUAAACACUAAACGGCUAACAAACUAUAGGUGAUAUCUAAUUAUCCUAAGAUCUCUUUAAAACUAACCAUAAGAGAACUAAGAAUUUAUGAACACUGUAAAAAUAGAAGUCUAGAAAAAGAAGAAAAAUCAUAUGGAAACAAAGAAUAACAAGGGAAGUGAAGAAAACUAGCAAAAGAAAAAUGAAGAGAUACCUGAACCUGUGCGGACAACUCGAAGUGAAAAAAACUUUUGACUCUUGACCGAAUUAGGCUUCAAUCUUGGGAAAACAACUGAGUAGGGUUCAAGACCGUCCAAAAACCUCCCUGACCUAUUGGAUUAUGCAUUUUGAAUCAAGGCUCAGUUCUUUGAUUUGAUUUUCGAGAAGCUCCAAAAAUGUUUGAAAGAAAUGGGAUGGAGAUUCGGGGUUGAGGAGGGUCUAUGGUGUGACUAUGGUUGAAAUAGGAUGAACUCCAUACACGCGGACACAAAAGAUAUAUUUUUGCAUAUUCGACAGUUUUAAGGGAGAUUUGAGGGAAGUGGGGCUCAGAUUUGGGUAGAGGAGGCCAAUGGGAGUCCGGGGUGUUAAUUUGGGAGCUUUUUGGGUGAUCGCCGCCGGACGCGGCGGAGACGGUGAAAAUGACUUUGAACAUUCGAGGAGUUUGAAACGGAGUUGAGGGAAAAUAAGGCGGGGUUCGAUAUGAGGGAGAAGAGGUAGUUUGUGGAUAUAUUUUUGGGCGAGUUUGGAUACCGGCCACGGGCGGACGGCCGGGAACAAUGGCAUUAGGGUUUCAACGUUUGGACAAGGUAUGAGGUUGGAUUUUGGGGUGGGGGUGGGGGGUGGAACAUUUAUAUAUGCGUUACAUCCUGG